UAUAUAUAUUAUAUAUUGUAUAUGCUGUUAAUGAGUUAAUAUGGUGCUUGCUCCUAGUUGGAAAUUUAUGUAGUCAUCUACCUAUGAUCAAAUAAAGAUGAAAAAUAAAAUAAAAUUGAGAGCAUCUUCCUCUCCCCUGCUUUGCUCAUCCCUUGUUCUUCCACUUCAGCCCCACUAUUACACCAUUUUUUCAGCCACAAUUAUAAUAGCUCCAUGAGCAUAUUAACAUCAGUGGCCACAGUUCCAUGAUUUGAGUGCACAGAAAGGUUUCAAAAAUUGUCCCAAAAGUACAGUCGUUCAAAGUGAAAGAGAGUUUUCAAAGCUUAAUUACAAGUUCAUGUUAUUUACAAUAGCAAAAAGCUUUCAUUCUUGCUUACAAACUUGUAUUUCCAAGUUCUGUAAACCUUGGAAUUUCACUUCAUCCAAAUCCCCUUCCAAAGCAGGAAAAAAUGGCAGCAGCUUUGAUUGGAGAGGCUCUCAUCUCUGCUUCUAUCGAGGUGUUGUGUGACAGAGUUACUUCAGCCGAGUUCAUAGACUUAUUUCAGCAGAAGAACUUGAUGAAACACUCCUCAUGAACCUGAAGACAACACUGUUGAUUUUGUUUGCGGUGCUCAAUGAUGCAGAGGAGAAGCAAAUUGUGAACCCUGCUGUGAGAGAGUGGCUUAACAGCUCAAGCAUGCUGUCUUUGAUGCAGAGGACUUAUUUGAUGAGAUUGACACUGAAGCUUUGCGAUGCAAGCUGGAAGGUGAGGAUCAAACCCACAAUAGUUAACCAACAAGGAUCUUUUUGAUUGUUUGAAAGAAGAGUCUUUGAUGAUUUGAAAGGAGAGGGUUGCUUUAUUUCUGUUGGAUGCGUAAUUAAAUCUUAUUUGGAGUUGAACAAGGAUUAGAUUAGCUGUAUAAUUAGUGGUAAACGCCUUUUUCUAAGGGUCAUUUAGACUCCUAUUACGAUUAAUUUGUUGUUUCUAAUUUGGACUUAUAGGAACAGACCAAAUAUGUUCACACGUGGCAUCGCUCAAGUCAUCAUCAUUUCAGACUGAAAAUCAGCCUUCAAGUGUCUGUUGAGCCAAUAAACCUUUCUAGAUAUAUCAAGUGCAAUGGAAAUUCAUGAGUUACAUAGAGAUUUGUAAACAUUUUGAAGAUUGCAACACCUGCAAGUGAGAUAGGCGGUGACGAAAUCAGAGCUGAUUUUGAAGCCUCUGAUGCCCCUGUUGUUGCAAGUUGCACCUGAGAACAUGUUUUUUUUUUCUUUGGGGUAAAAAAACUGGCAACAUGUUCGGAGCUGACAAUUCAAUCCCUGAUGAACUAGAGAAGCGAAGCUCCGGUAAGGAAUUGGUCAAGGUUGUGACAGGGAUGAUUGAUGGUGAAAUGGAUGCUAUUUCUUAUUGCAGCCUGUUCUCAAAGUUCUUGUUGGCAAAUGCAAGAGAUGGAGUAUUUUGAUUGGGAGGAGAUAUAAUGACAUGGCUUGACAAUUCUAGAACAGCCCAUCAUUAAUCCCAGAAAAAAUCCAGUUUCUGCUAAACAAUCACUUAUGGCAAGGCCAACUCUGUAAAUGGAAUUUGUGAUCCCUUGAAAUUGUACACAUUUUUUCUUUUUGAGGAAUUUAAUCAAACAGUAUUCUAAUGUAUUAUGAUAGCACUACACGCUUUUGUUGUAACAAAUUACAAGGAGGAAUUUGGAUUGAGUUUCUUGUAUAAGCACACCUUACACAAAUUUGGUAUAUUUUCUUCCAGCAAGUCUGUUUAUUAACCCCCUUAUCUGAAAUUAAUUGUUAAAAGUUUUGAUUCAUCUUUAAUCAGUGUCUAACCCUUGUUGAAUAACACUCCUCUUUCUAAUUUAUAUUUGAAGUUUGAGGUUUCAAUUUCAAUUGUGGGCUUUGAUUUUACAGAUUUUGUUUGUCAAUUUCAGUUUGGACAAAGCAUAUGCAAACAAAAUAAGCAUUUUAUGUUAUACUUUUGAAAUAGGUGUUGAUUUGAUUUAAUCAUAAGUUUUGCUGGUGCAUUUACUAGGCUAUCAUUCAAUACUUUUGAUCAUAGAACUUCUUUGGUCGAUAUUAUCUUUGUUAAGUUUAACCAUAAAUUUAGAGAGGGGACUUCAACAGAUUUAUAAUCUCAUCAUUAUAGUAUUAAAAAUUAGAGAUUAAGGCAUUGUCUAUUAUCUGAAUUCUGCUUACUUUUAGUUCAUAUGUUUACAUCUUAGCAUAUUCAUGCGAUUAGUGCGGCUCAUACCACAAAGGCAACUUUAGGCUCAUCAAGUGCUAAGCAAUGUCAAGCUUCCAAGUGACAAGUUCUCUACAUAGUUUGAGACCUACACUUACUAGAUAUUAGAUCAUUUCGAUCAUUUCCAUAUGUUUAUAUGUAAUUGACAUGUUAUAACAAUUUUUGUAGCGUUAUAUAAUUAUUUAGCAAUUUAAUUAUUUCUUUGCAUCAAGAAAUAGUUCUUAAGUUAUUAAAAAAAAAAAAAAAGAUUUAAAAAAAAAGAUUUGUUGAUGCUUAAAAAGCAUCAAGAACAGGUAGUUUCUUGACGGUUUAGUGACGUUUCAUAACUGUAGGAGGCUUUUUCUUCCGACAGCUGUAAAUGGGCUGGGUUGCCGUAAAGGGCAGACUGAUGAAAUUGUCCCCUUUUGUCUGAGCUAGAAAAUUAAGCCCCAAAAUACUUCGAAAGGGCAGCAGAGCCUUAGGAAGUAUUUUGGUUACCCUCACCAACUAAAACAACAACAACUUACAGGUAAUUUCUUAAUGCUUACAGAUGAACUCUUGAGCUUGGCAUGAGAGACAUGUGGCAUGGAAGCAAAAUCAACAUGAGUUUAGCACUGAGGGGAAAUUUAGGCUCUCUUGGGGGAAAAAGGGAAGUGUUAAGGUGAGAGAGGAGAAGUUUGUAGGAGAUUUAGCUAAGAAAGGAGAAAUAUAGAACAAUGCUCUUCUGGCAGCUUGACAGAUGCUCUGUCUGCCAGAAAAGGAAGAUGGAGAAGAAAUGUGAAUAGUGCACGAGUUUGCUAGAUUUUUGCAGGUAAGAGAGGAAGCUUGCUCUCUGGGUCUGAGUUGAGUUUUGUUAGGUGGAAGAGACCUCAUUUUAUAGCUCCUGGAAACCAUCACUUCCCAAGAAACCCUAAUGGCUUCUACCCAUUUUGGCCAAGCUUUUCCAUUCCUUUCUCAUUUCCUUCCUUGACUUUACCCCUCUUGAUGAAAUCCUCUCUACCUAUUUGCACCAGAUCAGAGUUUUUUGAAGCUUAAGGCCCCCUUUUCCCGCAGUUGUCUCAAUGGGAGACUUUCAUUCCUAGUCAUUUCCUUUAUUGCUUUCCUUUCUUUUUUUCAUGGCCAAGUCUGGUGGGGAAAGGAGUUGGGAUAAAUAUGCUAGUUUGAAGGGUGCUUCUCUUCUUGGCAUCUUACACACUAAUACCCCUUGGUUCCUUGAAUGUUUUGGCUUUGAAACUUGCUCCCCUCCAUGUAUUGGAACCUCCCAGCAGCCCUGGUCAAUGAAUCUUCAGACCUUCUCUUCGUGGCUUUUAUUUUUUUAUCAACUGGCUAGGGCUUUUGUGGCUCAUUGGGGCAAUUGUAUGGGCUAAGGUGGUUCAUUAAGUAAGUGGGCUAUUUUUAUUAAACAUUGAGCUUUUUGGUUGAGUCACUAGGCUAUUUUGAUUGGGCUAUUGGGCUAUUGUUUCCUCUCUUGUGCUCACCCACAUGUUUGGACCAAAGAAAUGAGCUUGAGUCCUGAGGCUCCCAAGCGACCCGAGACUUUCCAUUUAUCGGUCCAUCAAUGGGCCUCAUGUUGAUUUAUUACCAUCCAUACCACACCCCACUCAAGCAAGCCCCGGGCAUUUGAGUGGCUUGGGCCCACUUAGGCUUGUAGUGUGGUUGGGUGCAAAAUAACGAUUUCGUGCUUGGCAUGUUUUAAUUUUAUCAUCCAUGGGAAAGGCUGCGAUGUUUGAUUUCGGCAUGGGCUUGUAGAGCUGGUAUGCUUUAUUUCAACUCCUAGCAUGACGAAUUAUUUAUUUAGCAUGGCACGUGAAUUACAACUCGCAUGUGGUGGGUUUUUGUGUACUACACCUUACGCCUCUUCUUAAUAGAACAUCGUUUCUGAUAAUUUAUUUGGGCCCAACCGUGAAUUUUUUGGAUCUCAAUAAUAACCAUCAUGAAACAUUACAUUUUGACUGACAUCAAGAAAUGGGGUAUCCCUUUCUUGAUAGUGGCAUCCAUGAUGCCUUCCAAGCCGUCAAUUAAGGGCUAUCGCGAUGCAUUUUAGUUGUCAGCAAAAGGUGUUUUUCUUGUACUAUAUUCACUCAAAAUCGUGUUUCAUUUAAGAUUAGUAGUAUGGUUGAAUACCAUUUGUUUUGUUAAAGAAUAUUAUACAUUAGGGAUUUUUGUAGAAAUGUCAUUUGAACUUAUACCUUAGUUUCAAUUUGUCACCUUGAAGAAAAAUUUAAGAGAAAUAUCACCUUAAUUUUUUAAAAUCCAUGAUUUGUCAUAUGACUUUAAGAUCAUCCAAUUUUCCAUCCAUUUUAAGGGUAUUUUAGACUUUUCAUUUUCAAGGAAAAAAAAGAGAUGAAAAAAGAGACCUCUCUCUUACUUUGUCCCCCAACCCAACCCCACCCGCCCCCAAAAACACAUCACAUAGGAUUGCCUCCCCCUUCCCCACUUUUCUUUUUUCUUUUUGUCAUACUUUUCCACUGUGUUUAUGUUGAAGGAUCUAAAGUUUGCUUGGUCACCAUCUUUUACGUAGGCUUCCUAAUUGUUGGUUUGGGUGGGUUGUGGGAAUUUGUGUGUGGAGGGCAAGGCUCUAUCUGACAGGACCCACCUCGAAUUCCUCGAAACCCGAGACGAAUCUUGUAGAAUUUCCGACAUCACACCGAUGCCGGGUCCACUUCUGAACUAAAUCCUCUUUUCCAAAAUUAAGGAAAAAUAGUACGAGGCUUUCUGCCAAAAUUUCGGCAGUCUUCCCUAUAAAUUUAACGUUUCAGCUUUGGAGGCCGUUCUUUCAUUUCUGCUUUGGUGGCCGGAUGAGAGAACGGCCGGCUAAAACGUGGCCAGCUGGCACUGCCGUCACGAGAGAGAGAGAGAGAGAGAGAGAGAGAGAGAGAGAGAGAGAGAGAGAGAGAGAGAGAGAGAGAGAGAGAGAGAUGUUUAUCAAACCAUUUUUGCCAAAAUUACGAUUAUGCAACUGAGGGUAUUUUGAUCGUAUCUUUUUCGUUAUAACUCCGAUUCAAGCCCACUACAUAUCUACGGACUCAUCUCGCCGUGCUCUAUGCAAUUGUAUAGUUGAAAUUCCCAAAUUCCAUCCCAGUCAAAAAGUCAACUUUAAACCUUAUAAAAUAUUCUAAGGGCAAAAUGGUCUUUUAUCUAAUUAAAUUAAUAAUUGAAAAUUUAUUUAGGACCGGGUCGUUACACUGUCGUUGAUGGACUGUGCGAUGGCACUCACACAAAGUCCUUAAGAAUAAAACACACACACACCAUGAAGAGAGUAAAACAAAUGCACAAAGAUUUAUAAAGGUUUGGCCUCCUGCCUACAUCCUCUUGGUGAUCCACCCGAGAAAUUCACUUGUACGUAAGAACAACUUUGGUUACAACUAAACCCCCUUAGCUUUCAUAAGAACCCUAGAUCUCUUUUCUCCCACCCUUGCUCCAACCCUUUGAUGCCCUUGUAAACACUCAAGAAUUCAUCCUUGAAUUCUAUCAUGUGUUACAUCUUCUCUUCUCCCCUUUGCCAACCUAACCCUACAAGUUAUAUUUAAAAUUCAUUGGACUUUAAGUACAAGUUAACUAGGAAUAGGAAACAUAAAAGACCCCAAAAAUUGGAGAAAAUAUGUCUAGAUCUCAUUAGGAAAUUGCACAACACGUGCGAUCCUCUCGAGCGCCUGCAAAAUCAUCCCUUUGCCGCUCGAGCUGCCGAUAGCUCAUGGGAUGGGGGAAUUAGAAAUUUUUUUUUUUCAAUUUUAAUUGUUUAAAAGAUAUACAAUUUAUUAAUAAUAAUUUUUCCAUUUUUAAAAUACCCUUGAAAAUAGAAAGAUUAAAAUGCCCUUAAAAAUGGAUGGAAAAUUGGAUGGUGUUAAGGUCAGAUGACAAAUCAUGGAUUUUGAAAAAUUAAGGUAACGUUUCUCUUAAAUUUUUCUUUACAGUGACAAAUUGAAAUUGAGGUAUAAGUUCAAGUUACAUUUCUGCAAAAAUUCUUAUACAUUAUGAUAUUCUAACAAUAAUUGGCUAAAAUUGAUAUGUUCCCUCUUUUAUUUUCUUUUUCUCUUUUCCUUUUCAUUUUAUGAUCCAAUCCUUUUCAUAUAUUUUUGUUCAAGACUUUGUUUUAUAAUGCUCUAUUACUAAUUUGGUACAGGUCCCUAAAAUCUCGGAGCCGCCUUAGUACAUUCAUAACGUACAUGUUCAGAGUUCAAGAAUAAUGUAUAGAAUGUGAAAUUGACGAUGCCGGCCUUUAUGAGGCAACAUCUUUAUUUCUUUGGUUAUUCCAGUUUAGAAUAUUUGCACAAAUGAGAUGACUCCAAGCAUAAAGUCACAUUCGACCAAAAAGCAUAAAGUCACACACAAAAAGAACACGGACAAUUGCUAAGUUUAUCCUUGUACCCUUAUUUUAUUGAUCCGACCCAAUUGAAAAAUAAAAAAAGAUGAUAAAAAAUAUUGUUCACUGCUUUAAAAUCUAUGAGUAGAGUCCUCCAUUUGAAAUUUGGUCAUUAUACAAAAUUGGAAUGAAAAAAGAAAAUCCUAAAGCUAUAUUUGAUAUAUUUCAUUUUCAUUUUUUGCUGGGUGUUAGGGCUCGUCAAUGGGCCGGGCCUGGCUAGCCCGGCCCGAAUUUAAUGGGCUUGGGCCAGGCCGGCCCAGGCUUUAAAGAGGAGAGAGAAAAUAUCAGGUCGAGUUUUUUAAGAAAAUUCAAAGCCCAAGCCUGACCCAUGAGCCGGGCUUGAGAAAGCCCAUCGGGCCGGGCCGGGCCUAAACGGGCCCUACUUCAUUCAAAAAAAAUCAUUAACUUAAUCAUAAGGUCAUUUUAGUCCAAAUUUGAGAUUAAACUCACUUAAUUCUAAUAUUUUUACUUCAAACCAAAUUCAUAAAACACCCAAUAAAGUCACACAACUUGUAAGAUUUUCCACAAAAAUAAUAAAACCAAGUAUUAUUUUUGAGGUUAUUACAUAAUUAGAUCGUAAUACGUUUUAAAAAAUAAUUUUUAAAAAUAAUAUUAAUAAGUAUCAAAAAAAUAUUUUUUUAAAGGAUGGUAUGAAUAAAUAUGCAAAUAUUUGGUGAUGUGUUCAAGAAAAGGAUGAUUAUAUUUGGUGGUACGAUUAUGUUUCGUGAUACGAUUAUAUUUAGUGAUGUGAUAUGUUGUUCAUCUUAUAUAUAUAUAUAUAUAUAAUUGUUGAACUAAUAAUUGACACAAAUUAAUGUGUUAAUCAUCCAAUUAUAAACUAGGAGUGAAUAAAGAAAAGUAAAUGAAAUGAAACAAAUUAUAUGUGUGAUUUAAGUGAUAUAAUCCUAAACCUAAACUCUUAUUUAUACAUAAUUAUAUAUGUAUGCGGGCCUAACGGGCCGGACUUUUGUGGGCGUGUCGGGCCGGGCUUUCUUGGGCUUAAUCAGGCUGGACCUAUGGGUCAGGCCGGGCUUCAAACACCCCAACACGAGCCUAGCCUAGCCCGCCUUGGGCCGGGCCAUCUCAAAGCCCAUAACGAGCCGGAUCGGGCUUUUUUCGAUUGGCCGGGCGGGCCCCCUCGACCCAUGAGCCCGCGGGCCAAAUGAUGAGGCCUACUGGGUGUUCAAUUUUUCUUGUUUCUUGUUGAAAAGAAAAAUGAUAAUUAAUAAAAUCUGAUUUGGUGGUUGUGCUCGUCACAAAUCAAUGAAAUGACAGCAGUGAUUUUGCAAGACAGCAUACCUUCUCUUGGGGUGCUUUUCAUUUUGCAACAUUUCUUUACGUGUAAUUUCCAGAGGAGGGUUUAUCAUUGUAUAUAGCUCUUCGGGUGGUUUUUUCUGCAAAACAAAUGUCACAAGGAAGGAGGAGAAACGGAAAAGAUUUACUUGGAAUGUCUCAAGUCUCCUUUGAGAUAAAGGCAUCGAAUGCACAACAUUGUUUUUGUGCUAUUUCAUAAUUAAAGUGUGCUUCCCAAGUCUCCUUUGCGUUUUGUAACUUGUAAUGUUUGUUUUUUUGUUUCCCCUGUUUUGUCUUUUAUAAAAGAAAGAGGAAUGCUAGCAACCUUCUCUCUAAUCUUCUCUUUUGGACCUUCUCCCUUUUCUUUUUGACAAGUGUCAUUUUCCAUACACUUAAAACAAUGACAUUAAUGCAUCACACAAUUUAGUUUUUGUUUUCCAAGUUUACCAUUUUAAAAUGUAUUGGCUUUUAUAUUUCCUUCAAUUAUUCACAUUUUGUUAUAACUUGUUUAGCACAUUAUUUUUUUUAAUUUAAAAAAAGUCAUAUUUUUUAAAAAUAAAAAUAAAGUUUGUUUCAUGACAUUGUUAUCAUUUUUAUUUUGUUUUUAACAAAACACGCAUUCUCUUUGGAAAAAUUAAAAAUUAAAAAACAAUUCAGUUUUUAUUUUCUUAUUUAAUUUUUAACAAGCUAGUAAGAAAGUUAUAAAAAAAAAUUAGCUUGUUAUUAAAAAAAAAUUAAUACAUUUAAUAAGGGUAAAUUUGGAAAACAAAAACUAGUUUGUGUGAUGCAUUAAUGACAUUGUUUUUAGUUUAAGGAAAGUGACACUUGUCAUGAGAAGAAGGGAGAAGGUCCAAAAGAGAAGGUUAGAGAGAAGGUUGUUAGCACUCCCCAUAAAAGAAAUACAGGUCUGAACCACACGGAUCUACUUGCAUAAUAAUGGACCAAAUUUAUGAUUUUUAGAAAGAACCUUCUACUGGUGGAAUCUUGGGCUACUGUUGUGGCUCUCCUCUGUGUGCCUCCUUUUUAGAAUGGUAAAAUAUUCAAAAUACCAGAAAAUGUUCAUGAUUAAUGCAAAUAUUAAGAAUUGAAAUUAUUAAUUAAAUGAAGAUAAUAUGGUAAAUUCACACUUUUUCAUAUUAAAAAAAUUAAAAUUAAAAGAAAUAUCAGAUAAUUACUCUUAUUUUUAUGGAACACAGCUACCCAUUAUCUUUUUUAAUUAUAAAAUAAAUUUAAAUUAUAAAAAAAAAAUCCUCUCACAUGCACGGAAGCGCGUGCUCAGAGGCUAGUUAAAAAUAAUGAACUUUGCUUCUGAUGUCUAUACCAGACCCACUCAACCUGCUUUAUGAUUAUACAAAGAACAAACUCGUCCUUAGACUCAUUUGGUUAAACUUAGAAAAUAAUGAAACAAAAAUAUACACACCCACAAGUAACACAGCCAGGAUUGAAAACAACUGGACAAAGAAAGGCAUGUUAAAACAGAAUUUUCAACAACUCAUCACCAUUAGACAAGAAAAAGAAAAAUCAAUACAGAAACAGAAAGAACAGAGAAUAAAUGUGGUGGAAGAAAAACGUUGAAGCCAUUUGUGAAUCCAACAACACUACCACUCUGUUUCUCUCCUUUUGUUCAGGCGGAUCUGCAUAUAUCCUAAGGCGUAUUACGGAAACAACUUCUUGCCGUUAUACUUGAAUGUUGUGGAUGCUUCAACGUUGCCAUCUGGGUGGAGUGGAUUUGUCCAAUUCACCUUCACUAUGGUUAAUCAACUAGACAGACAUAAGUCAGAAACAAUAGGUAUAUAGGUCCAAAUUGUUGUUAUUUGAAAGGCUUCUAAAUUUUAACAUUUUGAUUUCUAAAUUUUGUUUUAAUAUUUCGGCCCACUUAGUUCUUCUCAAAAUAUGUCAUCAAUAUCGUUGAAAGGUUGAACUUAGUGAAUUAUUAUAGUGCAGUACGGUAAAAUAGGCACAUGAUAUAAUUUGUCCACAUGUUCUAAUAUAAGUGAAUAUUUAUUGAUAUUAUUUUCAAAAAUAAAAAAUAUCAACCAUUACAUCCUCCCAUAUUAUAAUACAUAUACAAAUUAUACCACAUUAUCAUACUCUAAUACCAUUUUAUAAUUUCUCGUACUUAGGAGGUAUAGAGCGAGUCAAUGACAUUACAUAAUAUAUAAUUGUUCAUAUAAUGGGGCAACUAACGUGAUCAACAAGUUGUGGUGAUUAAUUUAACAUAAUAAAAAACAUACCAUUUACUAUGUAACAAUUUGUUCUUUUAAAUUGGAUUGUCAUCACUUUAAUAUGUUAUGUUUCUUAUUCUAGUCUCCCAUGUUAAGUGCUUCAGCAUUGUUUGUGGUGUGUACACAAAUUUUCUUAUAAAAUGUUUUAAUGCUUCUCACAUGUAUAUCAGAUAUAGACAGUUGAUGUGACUUAGAAAUCAAAUUGUCAAUAAAGAAAAAAAAUAUAAUUGGUGAUCGAGGUCCAAUUUAAUAGAAAAUAGUCUUAAUUUGUAUAUUAAAGGUUUCAGAUUCGAAUCCUCACUGCAUUAUUGUUGUAUGCGUACACGAGAAAUUCUAUUUCCCAAUAAUUUAGAUUAUCACUUAUACUAAAAAAAAUAUAUAUAAUAAGUUUUACGAAUGCAAACAUAAAAUUACACCAAACAAUAAUGGAAUAGAAAGAUGGAAGUUUUUUUUUUUUCCUACAUCUAAAGUAUACUUUAUAUAUAUAUUUAUUAUGGGAGUUAUAACCGUUUAAUUUUCAGUUUUUAUUUUCUAUUUAUUGUGUUAAUUUUUAUGGUUUAAUAUGUAUGGAGAUUACAAGUAUUGGAUGUCUAUAAAGGGCCACUCCUCCUUCACAUCUGAAACAAACCACCAUCUCAUUUCUGUAUUUUCAUACUUUCAUAUAUUUUCUACUUUCCAGAUUAUUAUUUUUGGGCAACGGUUUUGUGACUUGGAGAUUUCUAUCCGAUUGUUAACAUGCUCAUAACGGACCUUGAGCUUGCGUAUUGGGGAUCGUAUCUUGGAGCCUUGUAGACCUUUAUUACGUGCAUGUAGGGAGGCUACAAAUGCUUUAGGUCAGCGUCUUUGACGUACUUUUGCUUUCUUUUUUUACUUAUUUCUUCGUUUCUUUAUUUUUACUUUACUUUUAAAUCUUUAUUUUAUGUAUUAUUUAUAUUUAAAAGUUUUGAAUAAGAGUUUUACAGAAAAGGAAAAACACAAUUUCAAAUAACACAAAUUUCUCGUUUUUUGUUCUUAAAAAAGAAGAAGCAUUGAUUGGGGAGUUAUGGUAAACUCAGUUUCAAUGGUUGCGAUGAGAGGCGGUGGCGGCGAGGAGAGGACGAAGGCUUUGCUGCCGACGGGGUGGUGUGGCUGGCUGCUUGGUCCUGGGUUCUCCUUUAAUUCUCUGUUUUCUUUUUUCAUUUUCUUUUUCUCUUAGAGUUAUUGAUGUUAAGUGAAUGGACAGAUGCCAAAAUAGGGACAGAAGAUGUGAACCCAAUUAUAUACAGCUGCUGCUAUAGCUGAUUACAUAAAGUAACAAAUUAAUUAAUGCUUGAGUGGAGGACAGGCUUGAGUGGAAGAAUUGAUUAAGGCUUGAGUGGAAGACAAACUUCAGUGGAGGAAAGUAUAGAUAAGGAAAGCAUGCCUCGUUUAACGGCUUUAUCUAAUAAAGAUUACUUGUUGGCACUUGGAGUUUCUUAGGAAUGCUGGUUUUGUUUCCUUGGUGGACUUGAAAGGUGGUGCCUUGGCUCGGACAUCUCCCAAGACAUACAACUGCUCAUUAGCUGAAUAUCUCGCUCUCUUUAAAGAGAUCGAAGCAAACACAAUUUGCAAUUUGUGUGAUUCAAGCAUGAAUAUCUGAUAUAGUAACUAUACCAUUUGUUGGUUUGAUAAGAAAAGUUUGGUUAGCGAGGAUGAAACCAUAAAGUUCCCAAAACACACAAAGAACACGGACAAUUGCUAAGUUUAUUCUUGAGUUCACACAUAUUUGCACAAAUGAGAUUAUUCCAAGCAUGAUUAUACCAUUUGUUGGUUUGAUGUGAAAAGUAUGGGCAACGAGGGGUAAAACCAUACAAACACACACGAAGAACGUGGACAAUACUAAAUUUAUCUUUACGUUAUUGAUCCGACCUAACUGUAAAAUAAAAAAGAUGAAAAUAUAUAAUGUUCAGUACUUAGAUCUAUGAGCACUUGCACAAAACAUCACUUUUGGUCUUUGGUAAAUUUUUAAAAUAAAUGAAUUUUUUACUUAUUUGUGAACUGAAAUGCCUCUAAAAAAAUAAUGAUAGUUCGAAGAAUUUGAUAGAAAUUAAAAAAUAUCCUCAAAUUACUUGGAAUUGAAGACCACAUAGGCAAAAACACGAAAUUGAAACCUCACUUUAAUGAUAAAAAUGGUAAACUACAAAGACAAAAAUGACGUCUUGCCUUAUAAAUAAUUGGAAUUUGCUGGUGAUAAUAGUCGAUAUCAUCUUUUGUCGGUCCGACCUAAAAAGAAGAAAAAGUUAAAAGCAUCUUGUACCAAUUUUUGCCAAUGUGGGCCCAAACAAUUUGAAGAAGUCCACCGGCAAUUUCUCAAAAGCUAUUGUGUGAGUGUGAAGCUAAACCAAUAUUAUUUUGCAUAUCCGACCCCACAUCCCCAUGUGAUGUGAGGCUACAGAGGUGUUUCCAAAACGAAAUAUGAUAUUUCAAAACGUAGCUAUGUAUAGAGUCAUUUGUAUUUGCUUUCACAAUAACAUUUGAUUUUAUAUUUAUACAUUCUGAUAUUUUAACAAAUAAAUUGACUAAAUUUGGCCAACAGGAUUUAGCCGAAUAGAAAAGUUCUUAUUUAUGGACUAGUAAUUUUAAAUUUAAAAUUUAGACUAUCGCAUGUAUUUAAAAAAAACUAAACAAUUGGCUUAAUUUGAUAUAUUUCCUUUUUUUCCUUUUUGCAUUUUAUGCUGGUUGCCGUUAUUAAGUUUUAUCCUUAUUUUUUGUUGAAAAGAAAAUUGAAAAAAAUAAUAAUAAUUCCUACAGCUAGCAACUUCUCCACCUACAAAAAAUAAUAUUUUUUGUUUUAUCCUCAUGUGAGGCUACAGAAAAUUUUUGAAAACGAAACUGGAUAUUUUAUCUCUAACGACAGCUUUCAUACUUCGUUUACCCUGUGUUUCCAAGUUGUGCUAGCUAUUUGCAAACCUUGGAAUAUUACUUCAUCCAAAUCCCUUGCAGAGAAAAGAAAGAUAUGGCUUUGAUCGGAGAGGCCCUCAUCUCUGCUACCAUCCAGACGUUGUGUGACAAAAUUGCUUCGCCUGAGUUCACCGACUUAUUUCGGCAGAAAAAGCUCGAUGAACAACUCCUCAACAAGCUGAAGACGACGCUGUUGACCUUGUCCGUAGUGCUUAAUGAUGCAGAGGAGAAGCAAAUUGAGGAACCUUUAGUGAGAGACUGGCUUGACAAUCUCAGACAUAAUGUCUUGGCUGCGGAGGACUUACUGGAUGAAAUCGACACUGAAGCUUUGCGAUGCAAACUGGAAGAAGGUGAAGGUCAAACCCACAAUUUAACCAAGAAGGUACGUGAUUUUUAUCAACGCAUGAAUGUUGAGAUGAAAGAUUUAUUAGAAAGAUUAGAACAAUUUGUACAAGAGAAAAGUGCUCUUGGUUUGAGAGAAGGUGCUGGGAGGAAGGUUUCACGAAGAACAACAACUUCCUUGGUUCAUGAACCUUGUGUCUAUGGUAGAGAUGAAGUCAAAGAAAAUCUGUUGCCAAUUUUGUUAUCUGAUGAUGCAAGUAAGGAUGAUGUGUCUGUCCUCACCAUUGUUGGAAUGGGUGGGAUUGGCAAGACAACCCUUGCCCGACUGCUUUAUAAUGACGAUGAGGUGAAAGAACAUUUUCCACUUCACGCUUGGGUUUGUGUUACGGAAGACUAUGAUUCUAAUAGGAUAACUAAAACUCUUCUAGAGUCAGUCACCUCAAAGUCUUCUAAUAUGACAGAUCUAAAUUUACUUCAAGUUGAACUAAAAGAACAACUCAAGGGAAAGAAAUUCUUAUUUGUUUUGGAUGACCUAUGGAAUGAGAAAUAUGGUGAUUGGAAACGCCUCCAAACUCCUUUUACUUCUGGGGCAAGGGGAAGUAAAGUCAUUGUAACAACACGGAGCCAACAUGUAGUAUCUGUCCUGCAAAGUGUUCAUGUUCAUCACUUGGAACCCUUGUCGCACGAAGAUUGCUGGUUCUUACUUGCAAAACAUGCAUUUGGAAAUGAAAAUUGCAGUGAUCCAAACUUGGAAGAAAUUGGCAAGAAAAUUGCACACAAGUUCAAUGGGUUGCCUUUAGCUGCAGAAACACUUGGGGGUUUGUUACGUUGCAAUAUAGAUUCAGAGGAAUGGAAUACAAUACUAAAUAGCAGUAUUUGGGAGCUACCCUAUGAUAAAUGUGACAUUCUUCCGGCUCUUGGGUUGAGUUACCAUUAUCUCUCCUCCCAGUUAAAACGAUGCUUUGUUUAUUGUUCAAUUUUUCCAAAGGAUUAUGAGUUUAAAAAGGAAGAUAUAGUUCAAUUUUGGAUGGCAGAAGGUUUAAUUCCAAAAGCUGAGAAUGGAAAGAGCAUAGAAGCGGUAGCUAGAAAAUACUUUGAUGAGCUGUUGGCACGAUCGCUAUUUCAAAAGUCAAGCAAAUCCGGUUUCACAAUGCAUGAUCUCAUUAAUGACUUGGCCAUGUUCAUGUGUAAGGCAUUUUGCCUUAGGUUGGAAGGGGGGGAAUCACAUGUCGUAGAAAAAGUUCGGCAUUUUUCAUAUGCUAUGGAAAGAUUUGAUGCAGCUCCAAAAUUUGAGCCAUUACAUAGGGCUAAGUUUAUGCGGACCUUUCUACCCAUAUCAUUAAAUUUUGUUUCCACUUCUUAUGUAACUAAAAAGGUUCUACAAGAUUUGUUGCCGUCACUAAGAUGUUUACGGGUGUUAUCAUUGUCACAUUAUCAAAAUGUUACUGUGUUACCUGAUUCUAUUGCAAACCUCAUUCACUUGCGCUACUUGGAUCUUUCCGGUACCGCAAUUGAAAGGUUACCUGGGGUACUUUGCAAUCUCUACAACUUGCAGACAUUACUAUUGUCAAAAUGUUUCUCACUCCUUGAAUUGCCUGCAGACAUUAGAAAAUUGACUAAUUUACAGAAAUUGACAUUGCUCGGUUGUAGUUCUCUUAAUAAAUUGCCUGCAGGCAUGAAGGAGUUGACUAAUUUGCAUCAUCUUGAUGUCAGUGGAACUAAAAUUGAAGAGAUGCCGGUGCAAAUGGGUAGAUUGAAAAGUUUGAGAACAUUGACUGCAUUUGUUGUGGGCAAAUCUACUGGGUUAGGCAUAAGAGAACUGAGGCAGUUCCCGCAACUUCGAGGAAAACUAUCAAUUUUGAAGCUACAAAAUGUAGUUGAUGCGAGGGAUGCACUGCACGCCAAUAUGAAGCACAAGAAAGAUCUCAAGGAGUUAAAGUUUUCAUGGGGUGCGGAGGAUGCUGAUGAUUCCCAAAAGGAGAAAGAUGUACUCGACAAGCUCCAGCCUUGCGUGAAUUUGGAGAAAUUAUCCAUCAAAUUCUAUGGUGGAACCAAUUUUCCGAAUUGGUUAGGAGACUCGUCUUUUUCUAACAUACAAGUCAUGCAUCUCAGUGACUGUAGUUAUUGUUGGUUGCUCCCACCAGUUGGACGGCUACCGGCACUCAAAGAGCUCUGUAUAAAAAGAAUGAAGUCUUUGAGGACGAUUGGCGUUGAAUUCUAUGGCAGAAAUGGAGCUUAUCUGACUCAGCCAUUUCGAUCUCUGGAGAAGCUAGAGUUUAGGGGGAUGCCGGAGUGGGAGGAAUGGGUACCAAGUGGAAGUGCAAGUGGAGGUGAAUAUGGUCCAGACUUUCCUCGUCUCCAAAAGCUGAUUCUAAACGAGUGUCCGAAGCUAAGAGGAAGUUUGCCUUGUGAGUUGCCUUGCUUGAAGAAGCUUACGGUGUAUGGGUGUAAGGUUUUACAUGAUGGAAGGACCGCUACCGCAACUACCAAUAGUGUUAACUAUAAAUCUCUGGAAGAAUUGGAUAUAAGUGGUGGAUGCCAAACUCUGUUAUCAUUAUUAGAGACAAAGCUCCUGUCCCGACUUCGGAUUCGAAAUGUUGUUGACAUACAGUGCUUGCCCAACUGCAAUCGUCUUCAACGUUUGACUCUUUGCCUAACGCUGUCAUCGUUUCCCAAAGAUGGCCUACCCACUACAUUGACAUCACUUUAUAUAAACAAUUGUAGGAAAUUAGAAUUCCUACCUCAUGAGAUGUUGGCCAAAUUAACAUCGCUUGACUAUUUGUGCGUACAAAAUAGCUGUGAUUCAAUGAGGUCCUUCCCGUUGGGCAUUUUUCCCAAAUUGACGACGCUUCAAAUUCGUGGUUGUGAGAAUCUGGAAUCUUUUUCCUUGAUUGAAGAAGAAGGAGCUGUUGACAAUCUCAGCCAUCUCAAUUCCUUGCGUGUCUAUAACUGUCCAAAAAUGGUGUGUUUUCACGAGGGAGAAUUGCCCACUCCCAACCUGAGUCACUUUGUAGUCAUUGGUUGCGAGAAUUUGAAGUCAUUGCCCGAACGCCUUCACACCCUCACUGCCCUUCGAUCUUUGAAUAUAUGGAAUCUUCCGAAUCUGGAGUCAUUUGCAGAAGAUGGGGGUUUGCCUCCCAACCUCCGAUCUUUUAUCAUUAGGAAUUGUAAGAGACUGAGGGCACUUGACUCAGUGGGUUUGCAAGCACUUGUCUACCUUCAGAUCGAUGGAAGUGACCAUGUCUUGGAGACGUUGCUGCUCCCUACCACUCUUCACACUCUCUGCAUCUCUGAUCUAUCAACUCUGAAAUCUUUGGACGGAAAGGGUCUUGGACACCUCACUUCUCUUCAAACUCUAAAAAUUUACAGCUGUCCAAGUCUUCAAUGCCUGCCAGAAGAGGGUUUGCCGCCAUCUCUUUCUCAUCUGAGUAUCCGCUGUUGUCCUACCCUGGAGGAAAGGUAUAAGAAUAAAACGGGACAAGAUUGGGCAAAGAUAUCUCACAUUCCUUGCAUCGAGAUAGGGGAAGAAGUGAUCAUAUAAUAUGAGCUAUUCCAUAUUUCACGCUCAACCCUCAACUCUCAAAUCAAAGUCAGGUGAGGUAUGUGCCUUCUCUUACUUUAAAAAACUGCUUCUCUUCUUCUAAUUGAAUACAAAAACCAAAACACAUAUUCUCUUUCUCUUCCAAAAACCCAAAUACAUGUUGGACAUUGCCCAAAUUUGUCUCCAAAUUCCUAGUUUAAAUCAAAUUUAAUGCCUAUGGAUAGUUUGUUAAUAGGUUCAUGCCAUGAAUUAAUCUUUGGACUUUCCCAGGUACUGCAGGUUUGUUAUUAAUGUUGUGGCCUGAUAUUCGUCGUAUCAAUACGUUGAGGAGAGAGAUCGAUCAGCAAUUACAAAAUUGUUAGUGAAUUUAGCUUGUUUAUCAUCUCUCUCCUUUUGUUUGUUAAGUUUUGUUGUUCUAGGUUAAACCCUUGUCCCCGCAUUUCACAGCAACUCUGUGUUUUUCCACUCUGUUUAGAUUUCACUAGCAGGAGAGCCCGCGCGAUGCUGCGGGUUUUGAAAUUGUGUAGACAAAAUUAGAUUGUUUAUAUAUACAAUGAGAUUUAAUUUAUAACAUUAUGUUUAACUACAGGAGUGUAAGUUGCAAAAAAGUAUAUAAUAACAUAUUUUACAGGCUACUUGUUAUGGUAAAAUACUAUACUUGUUUGUAUAUACAUUGAGAUGUUUAUAGUAGGAAGUAGGCAUCAAAAUAGCAAAAGUUGGAUAGUUUUGUACAGAAUGUUAUUUAAUUGGGCAAGCUUUGUUUUGCACUUGCUUCAUGAUUUUUCUUCUCUUUCAUGGAAGUCUUGAUCCUGUUAUAAAAAAAAGUGAGAAAAUAGUAAAUGUUAAUAUUGAUGAAUGGGGGAAAUUGAGUUAGGACAAUAAUCAUAAACAUUUAAUUAUGUAUAAACAGGAAUAAUAUAAUUUAUUGAUUUAAUAAGAAAGUUAUAAAUAGUUUUUCAAUCUAGGAAAUACAAAGUUACAAAAUUAAGAGAACUAAUGAGCAAGUUGUAGAUGGUUUUCUAAUUGAAGUAAUACAAAGUAAACAUAUUUUAAAUUUUGUGUUUGUCUAAAAGAAAAGUUGAAGAGAGGCAAAAUAAUUAUGGUUGAAUAUAUGGAGAAAAGGAUGUCAAUAUAAUGUUUAGGUUUUUAUGUAUUAGGAAUAUAUGACUUUUUUGCUGUUAUUUAGAGCAAAAAUUAUUUAAGGGCUUGACAUUUCUGUUAAAAAACGGGUAGAAUCUACCCUGAAAAAUGGACAUUUUGCCAAAAAAUUCACCUGUAAACUAAUUAGUACUGAAUACCGAUUGGCGAAGGCAAGACAAUCAUAGUUGUGGAGUACAUAGUUAGAAAGAUGAAUGUGCAAACGUACAUCUAACCCCAUGAUAUACAUCUAACCCCAUGUGAACAUGAUUUAUUCUACAACAAUGAUUAUCAAUUUUCUAAUUGCUCAUUUUCCUAACCCUAAUCAUCACAAACCCAAAAUUAACUCUAAAAAUUUCAAAUAAGCAUGGUUCUAAACCAAUUUCUAACUUACUUAGCGAAGUCUUUUCUAUAAAUGAUAGUUGUUGAAGAAAAAGGGAAACGAAAAUAAGCUUUUAGUGUAUAAGUACAUUGAAGCAAAACAUGAAGAGAAUCCAAUAUAUAACUUCAAUAUAUAACUUUAAUUUUCUAUAAGUGUUGAUCUAAAUUUACAUCCCUUACCACUCUUCAAUUUAAAAAUAGUUUUAGCUACAACAAACAACUUCAGAGAGAAGAUUUGGCCCUGUUUUAUAAGGCAAAACCUCUCUAACCACAUGACAUACAUCUAACUCCAUGUGAACGUGAUUUAUUCUACAACAAUGAUUAUCAAUUUCCUAAUUGCUCAUUUCCCUAACCCUAAUCAUCACAAACCCAAAAUUAAUUCUAAAAAUUUCAAAUAAGCAUGGUACUAAACCAAUUUCCAACUUACUUAGUGAAGUCUUUUAUAUAAAUGAUAGUUGUUAAGGAAAAACGGAAACAAAAAUAAGCUUUUAGUGUAUAUGCACAGCACAGAAAUUGCAUGUAGCUUUCCGAUUUUUAUCCCAACUUCGUUUCUGUGGAAUCACAAAACUACAUACGCACAGCACAGGGAAGGGAAAAAAAAAAAAAGGCACAUUUAAGAGACACCUAUCUUCUCAUUCUACAUCACAUCCUCUUUUCCUAGCUUUCCAACCUUGCAACCAAAGCAAACAUCUUUCCUGAUAAAGGGUAGGAAAGAAAGUGGUUGUGUGAAUUGGGAUGAGAGAGACAGAGACAGAGACAGAGACAGAGAGACAAAGAGAGAGAGAGAAAAGAGAAAUCAAAGUAUAUAUAUAAAUAGUAAGUAUAGUUUAUAUCAUGCAAAGUUUUGAUGGUUUCGUUCAAAAAAAAAACAGGGAAAAAGUUUUGAUGGGUAAUUCUAGUAAUAAUGUUCUUAUAAUUCUAUAUAUAUAUAGAUAUCAAACUGUACUACCAUAUUCUUCCUAUAUAUACACUUGGUCGUCAACUACCUCUCUCUCUCUCUCUCUCUCUCUCUCUCUCUCUCUCUCUCUCUCUCUCUCUCUGUGACCUGCAUUUAUACAGAACCAAUUAUUCCAUCUUCACUAUACAUUUUCCUCAUCUUCCCAUUCAUAUUUUAUGGCUCUCUUGUUCUUCCUCCUAAUUCUUUUGGUCCCUGCAAGCAAUACUAAUUGGCCACCAUCACCUGGCUACUGGCCAAGUUCUAAAUUCAGGUCUAUGAGCUUUUAUAAAGGAUUUAAAACUCUCUGGGGUCCUCAGCAUCAAAGCUUAGACCAACAUGCAUUAACAAUCUGGGUUUAAUGAGGCCAGAAAAUUUUAAGAACUUAUCUACCAAGCAUACCAAACUGACAAAGCAAACCAUAUCUGUAUUUUAUCAUCAAUUUCAUCAAUUUUAUCACCAACAACAGAUAAAAAAAGGGAAUUUUUUCAAAAAAAAAAAAAAGGAAAAAACAUAAAUAAAAAAAGGGGCACAUUUAAGAGAGACCUAUCUUCUCAUUCUACAUCACAUCCUCUUUUCAUUUUGAAGCGGUCAUGUGUUGUGAGUUUCUUGUUUUAUAAAUUUUCAAAACUGUUGUUUAGAACUGCAAAAUUCUUCAUCAUAUAUCUUGCCUUCUAAUAUACAUUCUGUAUCAGGAAACUGGAAUGAGGCUUGCUCUUUGAGGAAGAGAAAUAAAAGAAAAAGUUGUGGCAAAGGUUCACGGAUGUAGUUGGAUUGUAGUGGGACAGAGAACAAAUUUAUUUGUUGCAGGGGAAAAGUCUCAUCCAAAUGCUAUGAAAUCAUGGCAACUUUAAAGUAUUGGACAGCAAUAAUGAAAGAAGAGGGCUAUGUUGGUGACACAGAUUCUUGCUUGCAUGAAUAAGAGGGAGAAAAGCCCCUAUGGUAUUGACUGUUGCCGCCAAGUGCAUAUUGUUAUUACUAUGCGUACUACAUCCCAAGGCCUCUCUCAGCAGGAUUACAAAGUAAACCAGAAUUACUAUCCCAGCAGUAUUCUGCAACUUUGCUCUGCACUUCCUUAUGUAAUCUCUCUCUCUCUCUCUCUCUCUCUCUCUCUCUAUAAAUAUAUAUAUACACACACACACACACACACACAUAUAUCUAGGCAUGCAUAUUUAUGAGUUCCCCAUUGAGGAGGGAUUCCCUUUUGAGGAUUUUAUAAUUAGAAUUAGACUGCCUUCUUAACCAAUAGUUGGGUUUGUGUGGUAAGGUAUGCUGGGUUUGUUGAUGUGGAUAUUUAUGCCUGGAGGUGCUUUGUUUUACUACUUCGUUGAAGUAGAAACAGACACUGACAAAGAAGCCCUUCAUUCUUUGUCUCAAUAGUGAUUGGUUUCUUUGAUCCUAUUCAUCAUAUCUGGUGGUGAGGUUGCCUAAUCAGCCAAAUGUUGGGUUCAACUACCUCUCUCUCUCUCUCUCUCUCUCUCUCUCUCUCUGUCUCUCUCUCUCUUUCUCUCUCUCUCUGUGACCUGCAUUUAUACAGAGCCAAUUAUUCCAUCUUCACUUUACAUUUUCCUCAUCUUCCCAUUCAUAUUUUAUGGCUUUCUUGCUCUUCCUCCUAAUUCUUUUGGUCCCUGCAAGCAAUACUAAUUGGCCACCAUCACCUGGCUACUGGCCAAGUUCUAAAUUGGCCAGAAAAUUUUAAGAACUUAUCUACCAAGCAUACCAAACUGACAAAGCAAACCAUAUCUGUAUUUUAUCAUCAAUUUUAUCGCCAACAACAGAUAAAAAAAGGGAAUUUUUUCAAAAAAAAAAAAAAAAAAGGAAAAAACAUGUUUAGUCUUUGCUUUCCAAUGUUUUAUCCAAAAACCUGAAAAUCAAAGUAACUAAAUAAAUGAACCCAAUCAUUCCUAAUUUCUAUUUUGUCAAAACCUAAUUAAGCUUCACUUCUUUUUUGCUUGUAUUUUAUCAUCAAUUUCAUCUAUUUUAUCACCAAUAGCAGAUAAAAAAAGGAAAUUUUUUCAAUUAAAAAAAAAAAAAACAUACUCAGUCUUUGCUUUCCAAUGUUUUAUCUAAAAACCUAAAAUCAAAGGAAUCAAAUAAAUAGGGUUUAGGGCUCAAGAACCUGAAAUCAAAAGAACCAAAAAAAUGAACACAACUCUACAUAGCACGAAAAAUCUCCCAGCCAACAAUCAAAUUCAUGAAAUAAAUACCAAAAGAUCUGUUAAAAAAUUGAUGAGAUGCAUACCUGAAAACAAAGGAUGCAACAAAGAUGGAAGCCUGAGUCGAAGCAAGAACGAUGGAAGCCUGAGUCGAAGCAAGAAAGAUGGAAGCCUGAGUCGAAGGUUGUAGAAAAGACGAAAUCUCCCGAUCCCAAAUCUGUGACACGAAGACUGAAAGCACGGCUGGAUUUGCAGCUCACCUCCCAAACAAAAAUCGACGGCCUUCAACGCAUCUCCAGCAACGAACACAACUCUUCCAUGGCUGCCCCCCAACCAGCUGGUUGGAAACGAACGGGAGAAAAUGGUUUCUCUCAGCGGACGAAACCAUCUCAACGAAGGGGGAGGGGCAAAAACGGGAACAAAAGAAACUGUUUAGUCAAGGGCAGUUUCGUCAUUUAACUGUGCUGCAGGAAAAAAAACGAAAACAGCAGAAAAAUGAGGGGCAUUUCCGUCAUUACACUGUGCUUAGCUACAGUGUUUAGUUGCAUUGGGUUUUAGUAUAUAUAUAAUUUAUGUUGUGAUUCGACUGCUGCUGUAUUUUAGAUUUAUAGGAACAGACCAAACAUGUUGAUUCUAUCACCAAAAUUAUAAAGUAUACUUCCAUUACAAUUAAUUUGUUGAUUCUAAUUUGGACUUGUAGGAACAGACCAAACAUGUUCAUACGUGGCAUUGCUCAAGUCAUCAUCAUUCGGGACAGAGAAUAAGCCUUCAAAUGUCUGCUGAGUCAAUGAACCUUUCUAGAUAUCUCAAGUGUAAUGGAAAUUGAUGAGUUACAAAGGAUUUGUAAACAUUUUCUACUGGAGGCUAGAAAUGCUUCAAAUAAAUGACUCUGUUGCAAUUAUUUUGUAGGAUCAAAGACUCUGCAAAGAGGUAAGAAAGUCAUCAUCAAGUAACUUCGCUCUUCAUACUUUUUAUUAGGGGUGGGCAUUGGAACCGCAAAACCGCAAAACCGAACCAACCCAAUCCGAAAAAAACCGAAAAAAACCGUGUUGACCGAAAAAGUCAAAAACCGAGACAAAUCCAAACCGAACCGGUUCAGACCGGUUCCGGUUCCGAUUUUCCACCUUAAGGAACCGGUCCAAUCCGAACCGGUCCAAUAUAAUUAAUUUUUAUAUUAUAUUUAUAUUUAUAUUUAAAAUAUCAAAUUUUGUAGGCCCAAACCCAACUAUUUCAUUAUACCAACAAAAAGCCCAAAUCUCCCAAGUCCAUUGCCCAAGUCCAACAAGCCAUAUUUUAAUAUCCUAAUCACAUCAAAUCUCACUUCACUCUCUCUCUCUGACGCACUCUCUCUUUUCCUCUCAGAUUUUUUUUACUCUCUUUUUCUUUCUUUCUUCUCUCUUCCGCCUCUUUUCCUCUAGGUUCUUUAACUUCUUUUUACUUCUUUCUUUCUUCACUCUUCUGCCUCUUUUCCUCAGUUUUUUCUUCUUCUUUCUCUCUUAUUCUUUCUCCUCUCAAUUCGUCUCCAUUUUUUUUCCCUCUCUUUCUCUGAUUUUCUGUUACUCUGAUUUUUUUCUUCUUGGUUUUAUGUUUCUCUCUCUCCCUCUAUAUCUCUUUCUUUGCAACUCUGUUUUUCAAUUUCUCCUUUUUUUUCUCUCUUCAUUUUUUGUUUCUCUGUACAUAUAUGUGUUCAUCUUGUAGAUCUGGGUGAAAUUCUUGUAGAUCUAGGUGAAGUUCUUGGAGAUCUGCGUUAAGUUCUUGUAGAUCUAGGUAAAGAGCCAAUUCAAAGCAGGUCAGCGUCUCUUAUCUCCCCAAUCCCUUGUGAAGAUAUGUAUUUUUUUUGUUGUCAACAAUCCAUUUUGGUGUUUUUAUAUGGUAUUGAUAUUUUCUAUGAUUUUGGGCUGAUUUGAGGUCUGAUUCUUUUUUUUUCUUUCAAUUUUUUCCUGUUGUGUUUUGAUAGACAUGUUCUCUAUUCCUGAUAUCAUUCCUCAGUGGCAAAAUCUUUGAGCGUUGUUGUAAAUUUUAGACGGGAAAGAAGCUCAUUCAUAAUUCAAAAAAAGAAAAUAAAGUUACAACAACUGACAAUUUGUUGCUCUUUGAAAUAGGUACUGAAGUAGCAUGGAUAAAAAGAAAGACUGAAGAUGUUGCAGAAGAUUGAAUAUGUUCUAUUUCUGUAAUUUGUUUGUAAUUAAAUUUGUUUAUUUUGUUUUGUUUUUAGGUUGUAAGUUUUAUUUUAAUGUUUGAUAUUUGUUGUUUUGUCAAAAAAUUGUAUUAAUGCUUGAUGGAUUCAUUCAAUUUGCAGUGCGUGGAUGUGAAUUGGGCCAAUCGGUAAUAAUUAGGCCCAAAAGGUUUUAAAUAUCAAUUGGGCUGAAACUUACAAAAAAAUUUAAGAACAAAAAAAAAAUCAAUUAAGCUGUGUGUCGGCCCAAACCGUAAAAACCGGAACCGAACCGGAUUCAAAUGGGUUCGGGUUGGUCCGGUUUUCUCAAGCAUUUUAGUAAAAAUCCGAACCGGACCGGACCGGUGAACAGUACCGGUUCCGGUUUUAAAUUGAUGCAAAAACCGGUCCAAACCGGACCGUGCCCACCCCUAUUUUUUAUUUUUAUUUUUAAAUAUCAGUAAUAACUGGGAAAGCUUGCAUCUCCUUAAAUUGCUCAUUCUUACAUCUUUUAUAGUUUGUUGAUCUUGGGCAAGUGGAGAGAGAGGCGUCAAGUGAUACGCAACAACCAUUUUCUGUGAGCUGAUUUGAUAAAGAGAAAUGGUAUGCUUUCUUGUCUUAAGCGGUGUGUUCUGCAAUUAUUUGAAACAAAGGAUGCCGCACUUCAAGUUCGAGAAAAUCAGGUAUUUUAGUAUUUUAUUCUUGAGAAAUUUGAUUUAUGUAGAAACUUGAACAUGUAAAUGAGAGAAAAAAAAAUAAAUAUAUAUAUAUAUUAUAUAUUGUAUAUGCUGUUAAUGAGUUAAUAUGGUGCUUGCUCCUAGUUGGAAAUUUAUGUAGUCAUCUACCUAUGAUCAAAUAAAGAUGAAAAAUAAAAUAAAAUUGAGAGCAUCUUCCUCUCCCCUGCUUUGCUCAUCCCUUGUUCUUCCACUUCAGCCCCACUAUUACACCAUUUUUUUCAGCCACAAUUAUAAUAGCUCCAUGAGCAUUAAGUCCCUUUCAAAUUCUGCUGACAUUCAAAAUUGGAAUCUGCUGGUGAUAUAUGAUAGCGUUAACAUAUUGUACCAUUUUGGCCAGUGUACGCAAUAUUAUUGCAUCCAACUUUGCAUAUUAACAUCAGUGGCCACAGUUACACGAUUUGAGUGCACAGAAAGGUUUCAAAAGUUGUCCCACAGAGAACAGUCGUUCAAAGUGAGAGAGUUUUGAAAGCUUAAUUACAAGUUCAUGUUGUUUACAACCUCAAAAAGCUUUCAUACUUGCUUACAAACCUGUAUUUCCAAGUUCUGCAAACCUUGGAAUAUCACUUCAUCCAAAUCCCCUUCCAAAGCAGGAAAAAAUGGCAGCAGCUUUGAUUGGAGAGGCUCUCAUCUCUGCUUCUAUCGAGGUGUUGUGUGACAGAGUUACUUCAGCCGAGUUCAUAGACUUAUUUCAGCAGAAGAAACUUGAUGAAACACUCCUCAUGAACCUGAAGACGACACUGUUGAUUUUGUUUGCGGCGCUCAAUGAUGCAGAGGAGAAGCAAAUUGUGAACCCUGCUGUGAUAGAGUGGCUUAACAGCUCAAGCAUGCUGUCUUUGAUGCAGAGGACUUACUUGAUGAGAUUGACACUGAAGCUUUGCGAUGCAAGCUGGAAGGUGAGGAUCAAACCCACAAUAAUUAACCAACAAGGAUCUUUUUGAUUGUUUGAAAGGAGGGUCUUUGAUGAUUUGAAAGGAGAGGGUUGCUUCAUUUCUGUUGGAUGCUUAAUUAAAUCUUAUCUGGACUUGAACAAGGAUUAGGUUAGCUGUAUAAUUCGUGGUAAACACCUUUUUCUAAGGUUCAUUUAGACUCCUAUUACGAUUAAUUUGUUGUUUCUAAUUUGGACUUGUAGGAACAGACCAAAUAUGUUCACACGUGGCAUCGUUCAAGUCAUCAUCAUUUCAGACAAAAUCAGCCUUCAAGUGUCUGCUGACUCAAUGAACCUUUCUAGAUAUAUCAAGUGCAAUGGAAAUUCAAGAGUUACAUAGAGAUUUGUAAACAUUUUGAAGAUUGCAACACCUGCAAGUGAGAUAGGUGGUGACGAAAUCAGAGCUGAUCUUGAAGCCUCUGAUGCCCCUGUCGUUGCAAGUUGCACCUGAGAACAUGGUUUUUUUUUGGGUAAAAAACCAGCAACAUGUUCGGGGCUGGCAAUUCAAUCCCUGAUGAACUUGAGAAGCAAAGCUCCAGUAAGGAAAUUGGUCGAGGUCACGACAGGGAUAAUUGAUGGUGAAAUGGAUGCUAUUUCUUAUUGCAGCCUGUUCUCAAAGUUCUUGUUGGCAAAAGCAAGAGAUGGAGUAUUUUGAUUGGGAGGAGAGAUAAUGACAUGUGUUGACAAUUCUAGAACAGCCCAUCUGAGUUCUUUUGUCAGGCUGCAUCAUUUAAUCCCAGCAAAAAUCCAGUUUUUGCUAAACAAUCAAAUUGUACACAUUUUUUCUUUUCGAGGAAUUUAACAUUACACAUUUUUUCAUUUUUUCAUCAAACAGUUUUCUAAUGCAUUUGUUGUCCCAAGUUACAAUGAGGAAUUUGGAUUGAGUUUCUUGUGUUAAUAACAUUAUACUUUCAUGGAAUGGUUUAUCUUCUUUUUCUGGACAAAAAUAUUUAGAUUAAUUUCUUGGAAUAAUUUUUUAAUAAUUUUUUAAUUGCAGUAGCGAAAAAAGGAAAAUUGUAUUUUUCAAAACCAAUCUUAAGUCCAGUUUCCUCUUCUUGGUCGUCACACUUGGAAAUUGCUAACCAUAUAUAACUUGGGGUAACAAUCUUAGUCCGAAUGUGUACGAUCUUAGUCCGAUCAAUGGCUACGCGUAUUGGCUCGGCCUUGGGGUCUACCAUUCCAGUGUACAAGCUUCCUGGGUCUUGGGGCAAUUCCUUCAAAUUGUACACAUGUUUUCUUUGAGAAGCAAGGCUCUAGUAAGGAAAUUGGUUAUGUAACAAAUUUUGGUCCCUUUGGAUGGAAUGAUUUACAAUGAGGAAUUUUAUUAUUAUUAUUUUGUUUUUGUUGUUAGUGUAAUGAAAAUGAUCUAGGUUCAUACACUGGGUAUAGCUCUAAUUUGGCCAAUUUCAUUAUUUUAGUUUCUUCAUAUUUUCAAUUAUUAUAAUUUGGUGCGUUGUUUUUUAAAAACAUUCAUGAGAAUCUCCAUUUUUUAGGUGUUUAAGUUAUUCAUCCACAACGGUUUUAUAAUACCGUCAUCUUUUCAAACACAACGAUGAUUUUUUAAUCUAUCGUCGUUGUUUUCUGAUCGUCUUUUUCACUUUUUGUAGUAGUGUCAAUAAGUAAGAUGAAAUAAUACAUUCACAAUCUGUUUAAAUUUUAAAUUAAAAAAAACACAAGAAAAUUUUAAAUAAGUAAGUAAUUUUAAAUAUAUAUUUCCAUUGUUUUGGUUUUCUUUUCAUAUUAGUUUUCUACUAGCUGCUAAUUUCAUUUAAAUUGUUUUUCUUACUUCAUUUAACUUUUAAGCAUGCAGAUGCAAUCAUGACUUCUUCUUUUUUUCAAUAGACUGAUUCUCUUCCCACAUAUAUAAUGCUCUCUAAGUAUUCGUAAUAUGAGUAGGAAUUUAUUUUCAUUUCACAAGAAUUGUCCAUCAAAUUCUGAUAGGUUUGUCGAUAGCACAAGCAUGCACAUAUAGACACUACAAGAACUUUGUUUCUUCAUUUUGUUUCCUAAAGAUUUGUUGGCUUCGUGCAGAUGAAUAACAAGUCUCUCUGUCCUCUAUUUCUUCUUUUUCUUUUUUAACAAUUCAUAUUCUACUUUCUGUUUUCACCCAGUAAAAAUUGAUUUUAGACAUGGGCUUCUAAAUUAUGUGCGGAUAAUGGUUGCAUUUAUAGAAUAUCCAUGGGCUUCUAGUCACCGUGGUUGUUGAUUCAGCAUGUCAUAUUACUCUUGGACUAGCUGUUGACACUACUACAUUUUACACUUUGCGCGACGAAGAACAAAACGUCGCGCAAAGUCGCAUUUAGUCGCCCCAAUUUCAGCGCGACAAAAACGUCGUCGCGCAUAUUCCGUCGCGCGAAGAUCGUGAAGAAAGCCUUUGCACGACGAGGUACAACCCUUCGUCGCGCAAAAGUGUGCGACGGGUAAACCAUCGUUGCACCAACGGUGUGGAGACGAAACAACCCUUCGUCGCAAAAAUAUUUGCGCGACGAUAAAUUAUGCGGCGCACGUAUAUUUGCGAGACGACGGGAAUUGCGCGACAAAACAUUAUUCGUCGCGCAAAAUAUGUAUGGGAGACGUAUAUGUUCGUCGCAGAACAAUUCGCGCGAUGAGAAAGUUUUCGUCGCACAUAUAAUUGCGCGACGAAAAAUUAUGUCGUCGGCCAAAUAUUUUGCGCGACGAAACAUUUCGUCGCGCAAAACGUGUUAUGUGUUCGUCGCGCAUGAAUUAAAAGUGAUAAAAAAAUAUUUGAUUUUUUUUUGUUACAUGUUGGUUUGCGCGACGAAAGAUUUUCCGUCGCGCAAAAAUAAUAUUACAAUUUUUUUUUUAUUUAUAUUUUUUAUUUGAUAUAAAAUUGGUUUCUUUUUAUUGAUUAAACAAUGAAAUUGCAAUAAAAAUAAAUUAGAAUAAAAUUUUGUUAUAAAAUAAAAUAAAAUAAAUGUAUUACAAAUAAAAUAAAUACACUAAUCAAAUAAUGAAUCAAAAUCAACCGAGUCGUCGCCAGUAUGCGGCUCGGAGGGCGGGGCGUUCACCGGGGCAGUGGUCUGGUGGGGAUGCCCGGGAUGGACGGGCUCAGAGGUCGGCGCAUCAAAAUGCGGGACUGGAAUGCCGGACUGUGCGAGGGACUGCAGAAUGACCGACAUCUGGCUCUGAAGAGUGGCCACCUGUGCUGUCAAAGCAGUGACCUGACUGUUUGACUGCGCCGAUGAACGAGGUCGAGGUUCCCUCCGCCGGGCAUUCCCCAUCCCUCGACAAUAUGUCCCCGGCCUCCUCCCGAGAGUCUGAUCCAACGUCUCCGUCAAUAUCUGAAAUCCAGCAUCCUGUGGAGGAGCCACAGACUCGAUCGGAGUCUCGGGAGGAAGCUGGGAGGCGGACUCCUGAAGAACAAGCUGGCUCCUCUCCACCAUCGUCGUCUGUUGAACAUAACAUAAAAUAUAAAUUAAAACAUGCAUAUAAAUUGAAUGCGUAACAUAAGAAUUAAAAUUAAAUAAUACUUACAUGAAGGGACUCGGCCAACUCAUUCCCGGGUCGAACAUAAACGUCACCAAAGACGUCGAUCUCUGGGAACUUGGACCCCUCCUAAAUUGAACAAGAGAAGAAAAAUAUUAGUAUGAAAAAAAUAAAUUAAUAAAAAUGACAUUAAAAAUGAAAUAAAAAUUUUGUGAUUAUUACCCGACGCCGUGCAUCCAUCCUAUAAGAAAAGGGUCUGGAGCCGGAAUGGUGGAGAAGGGUCUUCUUCUUCCUAUUACCCUUAUUCACUUGGGCUUUAUUCUGUUAUACAAAAAAUGAAACGUAUUAGUUAAAAUAUAAAAAAUUAAAUAAUAAUGAAAUAAAAAAAUAAAAUAAACAUUAAUAAGUAAUAAGUAAUAAUUAAACAAAUAUAAUUAAAAAAAUACCGCAAAUUCGGGCGCUUGAAAAUGAGCGCAGAGCCACUCCCAACUAUCCUCCCGCCCCUCAAGCUCCUUCGGGCAACCCUCCUGAAGAGCGACUUGCGGAUCAUCAUAGGCCUGAAAAUGGUGGUGCAAGUCGCUCUUCCACUGCUUGUACCUCUCAGCGAAGAGUCGGUUGACGUACGUCAACGACUCUUCGUCGAGAUCCUCCAAGUUAUAGUUCGUCUGCAAUCAAUUAAUUAGAUACGUUAAGUAAUAGAAAUAUACACAAUUUUAAAGAAAAAUAAUGAAAAUGUAAGGUACAUACCGACAACUGGCCGUGAAUCUCCGCCUGGAUCUCGUCAGGCAUGACCCUCCAAGACUUCCAUUGCAUCGGGCAAUGGGUCCGCACGACGUGGCCAAUGUCGUGGGCCAAGGAGCUAUGCAACUUCGCCGUCGGUGCAGCACGAUGGCGCUCGUCGUAUCCGAUGCUGAUACGACUGUUGGUCACCCGGGUGACCUUCGCCGUCUUCAGCUGACGACACGGUCCUCGGGUGUUCCUCUUCGCUGCAAAGAAAUAAGGUAUUAAUGUUAAAUAAAAAAACAUUGUCAAAUUUCAAUAUAAAAUUAACAAUACAAAAGUGUAGUUAUACCUGGCUGUGAUCCCGAGGCACCAGUACCGUCGGUCGAUGUCGUGUCGAUGGUGUCGGUGGGCCGGUGCCGCCGCCUAGCACUAGCUGGUUGCGCCACGGAUGACGCAGAUGACACAGGCGCCUGGGGCGCCCCGGGACCAACCACCACGUGGUCCAACAAAGCAGGAGCAGUGGCAGCAGAUGCCGACUGAGCCAGGGGAUCCGAACUCGGUGCAGUCGUCAUCGACCUACCACGUCUAAUCAAGUCUGACAUCUGCACAUAUAAUUUCAUUCAGAAUGUAAACUAAUUAAUUAAAAGCAUAGCCUGACCUAGGGUUUGGAAUUUCGGAGUAUCCGGGACUCCGAUCAACGAUCGGUCGAAUCCUAAACGAUCCUAGAAACACAAAGGUACAACUACGCGAGUUUCAGUUCGAUCCAACGGUCCGAACAUAUCAAACCUGGAAAUCGCACAAUAGGCGAAAUUCGAUCAAGACUCAAACGGUAACCAAAUUCAAAUCCGAGCAAACCUACGCGCUCGUGACAAACAGGGGAUCGCUCUGGGACACAAUGCCCCACUGCCACAGCAUCCCACGCGCCGGCAGCGCGUGGGUGUCCAAAGCGAUAACAUUCGCCGGAAAAUUCUAAAAACUAACGGCCAAGGUUCCUACCCUAGGUUGAAAACAAUAUUUGGCGCCACUUUUGUUCUCGGACCUACCCCGAAAAAUGGCCGGAAGUGGCCGGAUUUGAAAUUGCCAAACCGGCCAAAACCUAGGGUUUUAAUUCCUAUUUCCUAUACCCAUCAGCUAGAGCACAAAAAAUAGUCGAGAAAUCAUACCUCAGGCGUCGGAAAUGGUGGCCGGAGGAGAGAGAAAACGGCCGGCGAGGAAUCGGUGAAAAACCGACGAUGUGCGACGGCAGGCUCGACGGCGAAGGCAGGGGAGGCUAUGGCAGGAGCGGCGGUGGCUGAGGUGACGGCGGAGAGAGAGGGCUGAGGUGACGGCGGAGAGAGAGGCAAACGGAGGAAAAAACCAGAAAUGGGGAAGAAGGAGGCAUCGCGACGUUUCUGCAAAUUUUUACGACUUUGCGCGACGAAUCACAUCAUUCGUCGCGCAAAAUGCUAUUAAUGAAUCUUGCGCGACGCUAUAUCCGUCGCGCAAGAUCUGUCAGAACGCCAAAUUCUGAAAGUGGAUUAGGGUCUGUAAGUUUUGCGCGACGAAAUAGACAUACUUCGUCGCGCAAAAGGCUGUCUUUCCGCCAAAAUUUUGGGAUUUAGGGUUUAGCGGGAGGCUGAAACUGAAGGGUUUGCGCUUUUGCGCGACGAAGACGGUAAACGUCGCGCAAUGGUAACCUUGCGCGACGGAACGUAUUAUAUUCGUCGCGCAAAAGGCUAUCUUUCCGCCCAAAUUUUGGGAUUCAGGGUUUAGCGGGAGGCUGAAGGGUUUGCGCUUUUGCGCGACGAAGACACUAAACGUCGCACAAAAGGCUGUCUGCUGAAAUGAAUGGUUUCUGCUUUUGCGCGACGAAGACAAUAAACGUCGCGCAAAACGUUGUCGUUCCGCCAACAAUUUGGGGUUUAGGGUUUAGUGUGAAAACUGGCGCCCAGAUUGCGCGACGAAGAGUACAUAUUUCCUUCGCGCAAUCUAUUUCACUUUCACUUUGCGCGACGGAUAUGUUGGUUCGUCGCGCAAUCUUCAAGAUUUUCAUUGAAAUUUUCACUAAGUGUUCAAAGGGGAUGGAGGUGUGAAAACUGGCGCCCAGAUUGCGCGACGAAGAGUACAUAUUUCCGUCGCACAAUCUAAUUCACUUUCACUUUGCGCGACGGUUAAAUUGUUCGUCGCGCAAAAUGUAGACCCUAAACCCCCUUGUAAACCCUAAACCCUGAACCCUAAGCCAUAAACCCUAAACCCUAAAAUAGUUUCAAUGAUCCAACCGGCAAACUUAUUGUUUGAAACUUGGAGAUCAUAUACGCCAAAAAUCAAGAAGACCAAACAUUCAGAUAUCAGGGAACGGGACUAAAUAUUUCGACGGUUAUAAAUGAAAAGUCAUGAUUUAACGGUUAUUGUAACUCCGAUUUUGAUCAAUUUUGACAGCAGCAUUUGUUGACCCUAUAUGAAUACAAUGACUGAAUUUGAUCUUCAAUUUCAGAUUUUUACACUAGGGGAUACCACAUAAACGUGAAGUUACAUUUGCACAAAUGUAUAAACAAAUUUUAGGGUUUUUGGUGAAUAUAUGAUUUUGAUAGCACAUGCAGUCUACGAAACAAGUUUCAGUCAUCCAGCCGUCAAACUUGUUUUUUUAGACUUCGAGAUCAUAGACAGCAAAAAUCGGACAAAAAAAACAUUCAGAGAUUAAGCAACGGGGUAAAACUUUUCGACGGUUCUAAAUAAAAAGUGAUGAUUGAACGGUUAAUUUAACUCCGAUGUUGAUGAUUUUUUGCAGCUACAGUCCUACACUCCAUAUGAAUACAAUGAACUACUUCGAUCGCCAAUUUUAAAUAUAUAUGUGUGUAUAUAUUAUACUAUAACGUUACCUAAUAUAUAUUUGCGCGACGAAAGUUUGCUUAUCGUCGCGCAAAAAUGCCAUACGCGACGCAUGUAUAUAUGCGUCGCGGAAACUAUGCGCGACCAGUUGUAUUCGUUGCGCAAACAUUACGCGACGCUUAUGUAUGCGUCGCGUAUGGUAUGUUUGCGCGACGAUAUGGAGCCCUUCGUCGCGCAUGGAUUUGGCGCCAUAAAUCCUCAUUGAUUUCAAAUUGUGUAUGCUUUGUAUUUUUUAGAAAGGUUUUGUAUUCAUCAUUUUUUAUGCUUUGUAUUUUGUGGAAAGGCUUUGAAAUAUUCAUUUCUUUUGUUAUUUUUAUUGAAGCUUUAACUUGUUCUGUUCCGCAGAAAAUUCCAAUGAAGUUUGUGAUGAAAUAUGGAGAAUGAAUACACAACUACAUAUGGACAACUACACAUAUUCAAAGAUUUGUAUUACACAAAAUUAAUACACUAACAUAAUAAAUUUACAAAUAAAUUCAUUAUUCAUCAUCUGAACUAUAAUAACUUUCGUUAUCGUCGCUAGCUUUAACUUGUUCUGUUCCGCAGAAAAUUCCAAUGAAGUUUGUGAUGAAAUCUGGAGAAUGAAUACACAACUACAUAUAGACAACUACACAUAUUCAAAGAUUUGUAUUACACAAAAUUAAUACACUACAUAAUAAAUUACAAAUAAAUUCAUUAUUCAUCAUCUGAACUAUAAUAACUUUCGUAUCGUCGCUAUCAUCACUCUCGGUCUCCCAAUCUUCUUCCUCCUCCUCCUCUAUAACUGCAUCAUCGGCGUUGCUAGGGCCCACUGCAACAUCGUAUCGGGGAAGAUCACCGAGGUCAAUUGUAAUUGACUGAAUCGGUAUUUCGACUGAAGACACUCCUUCUAUUUGAAACGGUUCUUGUAUAACAUUUGUAUCUCGAAGUGUUUCCGCAUCAUUUUCCAUUGAAGAUUCUAAACGAUGGUCAGCCACAUUGUCGACGUCGUUGUCACUUGGGUCUAGUUCUGGUAUAUUAUACACGUUCCUAUGAUCCAUCUUCUGCACAACUUUCCACCCGUUCCCGGCUUUAGGGUCAUCUAGAUACACAAUUUGGGACGCCAUGUUUGCCAAAAUGUACGGGUCGUCAUCAUACCAAGUUCUGUUAAUAUUCACAGACAGUACUCCAUGGUCGAUUUUAACACUUCCCGCCCUAUUUGGGUUGGUAUCGAACCAUCGACACUUAAACAUGAUGACUUGGUAUCGAUCUUUGUAAAGCAAUUGCACGACAGUUGUCAGUUUGCCAUAGAAAUCAAUGUCUGUACUUUCGCCUCCACCUGGGACAUGAACACCGCUAUUUUGCGUACACAACUUGUCAUCUCGUGCGGCCCCUAAAAAUUUGACGCCGUUAACAUUACAACCCGAGAACAAUUCAGCGCGAAUUGGGCCGAACGCCAAGUUAUAUAACUCAUCACUGUAAGUGGGGGAAUUCGAUGAUUUCAAUUUAUUCACCUAAUAGUAUACAAAACCAUUUACAUGUUAGUCUGACAAAAUUAAAUACUAAAAUUUAUAUUUGUCAAUUACAAAACACUUAUAACUUACAGAAUCCAAAAACCAUUGUGGAAAUAAUUCACGGUGUUUCCGGGCAACCAAAUGUGAUGGAUGUUCUCGCUUCAUCAUCUGUUCAUGCUCAUCUAAGUAGGCCAUUAUCUCAUCACAAUUGUUCAGUACGAACCAAUGCGCUACCUCCAUGUCAUUUCUAGAAAACGACUCUCCUCGUCCAGGAUCUCCAAAUGGUCGUGCGCUUUGGGCAAAAACAGAAAGUUUUUCAUUUCUCAUACCUCCGUCAUUAUUGCGGUGAGGACGAUUGAAAACCGUCUCCACAUCUUUUAAAUACAUUCCACAGAAAGUAAGCGACUCAUAUUGAACCCAAGCCUCUAUAAUUGAUCCUUCGGGCUUUGCCCUGUUGCGUACACUUUUUUUCAGCUCUCCGAGAAGCCUGCCAAAAUAAAACGAUAUGAUACAAAUUAGCAAAGUGUCGAUAAUGAUGCAUACACAAAUGAUAAAGAUUAUAUACCUUUCUAUUGGAUACAUCCAGCGAUAGUUGACAGGACCAGCAAGCAAUGCCUCUUCUGGCAAGUGAACCAUCACGUGCAUCAUACUUAUAAAGAAAGCUGGAGGAAAUAUCAUCUCAAACUUGCAUAGGACUUGGACAAUGUCAUGGCGCAACUGAAACAUGUCUGUCCUUCGCAAUGUUUUUGCCGUCAGUUGGGAAAAAAAUCUGGAUAACAACAUGAUUGGCUUCACCACAUCUUCCGGCAGUAAGUGUCGAAUACCCACAGGAAGUAGGCGUUGCAUGAACACAUGGCAGUCAUGGCUCUUAAGUCCAGUAAAUUUACCCCCAUCGACAUUCACGCAACGUGCGAUAUUAGAAGCAUACCCAUCGGGAAAUUUGACAGACGAUACAAACUUUAGAAACUCCUUUUUGUCAUUCGGUUUCAUAGAAAAGAAUGCAAGAUCCCUUCUAGCUUUAUCACUGUCCCUAUUCAUCCAUAAACCCCUUCGUAUGCCCAUUCUUUCCAAAUCAAGACGAGCUUUGAUCGUGUCCUUCGUCUUCCCCUCGAUAUCUAGAAUCGUGCCCACCAAUGUGUCGAAAACAUUUUUCUCAACAUGCAUCACAUCUAGAUUGUGCCUCAAUUUCAGUUUCGACCAAUAUGGGCGCUCAAAAAACAUAGACUUGUGCGUCCAGUUCAAAUGUGUAGAAGGUCGGGUCCGACUAACUGUUUUCCCGAACGGAGCAAAAUCCAAACGGUUCAGCUGUUCCAAGAUCUCAUCACCGGACCAUUCUCUAGGUCUGAGGCGACGCUCUGUGUUCCCGUCGAACUCUUUAUCUUUUUCUCGCCACUCGUGGUCCCAUGGCAACCAUCUCCGAUGACCAAGGUAACAAACUUUUCCCGCGUGCCAACCAGAAGUUACAUCUUCCUUGCAUACAGGACAUGCCAUAUAACCCUUUGUGCUCCACCCAGAAACCAUUGCAUAUGCUGGAAAAUCAUUCACAGUCCACAUAACUGCUGCUCGCAAAGUGAACAUCCUCCCAGUUGAUUUAUCGUACGUGCGAACACCGUUUGUCCAUAAAUCCUUCAGCUCAUCAACCAGAGGCCUUAAGUACACAUCAAUUGACCUGCCAGGAUCCUCAGUUAUCAAAACAGUCAUCAUCAUGUAUUCUUUUUUCAUGCAUUUCCAAGGCGGCAAAUUAUAUGGGAAUGCGAAAAUCGGCCAAGUGCUGUGGUGUUGGUUUAGAACCCCAUACGGAUUGAAUCCGUCAGUGGCAAGUCCCAAUCUAACAUUUCGGGGAUCAGCAGCAAAUUCGGGGAACGUUCGAUCGAACUCUUUCCAUGCCUCCCCAUCUGCAGGAUGCCGCAUCACAUCAUCGUCUACCCGUUUUUCCUUAUGCCAUCUCAUGUCUGUGGCAGUAUGCGUUGACAUAUACAAUCGCUGCAACCUAGGUUUAAGGGGCAGAUAACGCAUGACUUUUUGUGGUAUCUUAGUCGUUCUAUUCUGGGAUGUCAGUUUGAACCUCGACUCAUUGCAUAUAGGGCAUGUAUCCAACGUUUCAUGCUCUUUGUAGAAUAACAUGCAAUUGUUUUUGCAAGCGUGGAUUUUUUCAUAACCCAAUCCAAGACCGUGCAACACCUUCUGUGCAUGUUUAUGGUCUUUCGGCAAACAAUUGUCCGUCGGAAGCAUUCUCUUGAAAACCCCCAAAAAGUAAUCAAAACACAAGUUCGACAUACGAUACUUUAUUUUUCCGUGCAUUAGCUCCACAAUGGCAGUGAGAACGGAAAACCUCUCGCACCCCGGGUAUAACUCUUGGUUGGCAUUUUUUAACAGUUUUUCAUACUGUUCAAACUCCGCACUGUCUAUUGGUGUAGGCACGUCAUCUUCCCCUUCCUGAUUGAUGUUGGUCGAUGCGAAUGGAAAAGCAUCCUGUAUAAUACCCAUGACUUGAUCAUUAGGAUCCACAAUAGGUUCAACAUUGUCCACUCUCGGGGCAUUUGAAGACGAAGCAUGGUCUACUUGUUCGCCGUGAAGGUUCCAAAUGCUAUAUGUUUCAAUCAUUCCAUUCCUUACUAAAUGAAAUCCAACAUUUUCAAUUGUCUCCCACAACGUGUUGUUACACCUCCUACAAGGACAACGGAUUCUAGUUGCACCCGGGUUGUGUCUACGUGCAAACUCAAUAAAAUCCUCGAUUCCAUCCAAGUAUUCGUCUGCGCAUCUAUUCGGGUUCUGUAUCCACCUUCUGCUCAUAAUUCCUGAAACCACAAUCACGACACAACAAUCACAACAACUUCAUACGAAGUUAUAAUGUCACCUUAUGCCUCCGGUAAGGGCCCUAUCCCAUUCGGGAAUGCAUAGUCCUGUCACGUAACCUACGGCUACAUGAGAUUAGAUUUCGACGUGGAUUAAUUUCAGCAGCAUCUCGACACAGUUCUUGAAGUGGGCAUAGGUAUAAAUACCUACGUACCACCCGAAGAACGUACCGAGAUGACACCGAAAUCUCCACAAUCGAAACCUAAUCCUGUAGCCGAAGAUUAUGUGACAACACUAUGCAUUACCAAACUGUCCAAAUAAUGGGACAAUUCAAGAAUUAAUUGGACCGCAGUCAUGCAUUACGCAUCCAUGCACGAAAUUCAACUAAUCUCGAACGGGAAACUACGUGUUACUAAACAUAAAAAUAAAAGUACGAAGUUAAUUUCAAUUAACUUCGUACAUCACAACACAUUGUGCUAUGUCACGCACAAUUUCACAACAUUAUACACAUAUAACUUCACAAAAAAAUUACAAACAUAACAAACAAACUUUUACAAUAACAUACCUUCUCAAUCGUUCUCCACCAAUCACAAAUAUCCCUAACGAUAACAAAAUUAAUAGCGUUACUACGAAUUUACAUUAAUACAUUUAAACUAACGACAAAAAAUACAUACCCAAUGAACGUACUGAAUUCACAGUAGAGCAACGGCAGAGAGAGUGAGAGAGAGGUAGAAUGCAGUGGGAGAGUGAGAGAGAGGCAGAAUGCAGAAACUGCAUUCUGCCUCUGCAAUGGAACUGGCUAAAAUGAAGAAGAAGGACUUUGCGCGACUAACAAUCCAAUCCGUCGCGCAAAAUGCCGUCGCGAAAACCCACUUUUCCGUCGCACAAAAAAACAUUUCCGUCGCGCAAUUACCUGCCGACAUCAGGUUUUUUGCGCGACGAAUACAAUUAUCCGUCGCACAAACAUCCGUCGCGCAAAUAACAUUAUUCGUCGCGCAAGGUUUAUAUUACGUCGCGCAAAUAACACUUAUUUCGUCGCGCAAGAAAUUACACUUUACGCGACGAAGGUAAUUCCGUCGCGCAAAAAAGUUUUUUCCACCCUGCAUUUUGCCGCCAAAAUUAAGUAACCCUCGUUUUCUUACGCGACGGUACAUAUUUCCGUCGCGCUAAGGCGUCUUUUGCGACGAAAAUGUUCGUCGCGCAAGAUUCUGGCGCCAAAAACAUAAACUGGGGAUUUUUCCCCGACCUUUGCUCGACGAAAUUAGUUUUGGUCGCGCAUAGAUUGUUUGCGCAACGAAGAUUGUUCGUCGCGCUAGUGUUCUGCUGUUUGCGCUACGGUAUUUUUUUUUCGUCGCAAUAGUGAUUUUUGCGCGACGAAAAUAUAUUCGUCGCGCAAACGUCCGUCGCGCAAAUAGUAAAUCGUAGUAGUGUGAUUUGGUUUAGACUUGGUUUAAUUAUCAUUGUUGUGGUUGGUUCACCAAAAAGAUUUGGCUUAGAAUUACCAGUUUUGUUGUUGGUUUAGUUAUGCUUGGCAUUUGAGGAUCCUAUGCUUACUUGUAUGGGUAAUACAUUUUAUUGAUCGUUUCAUAUACUAAUUAUGAACUUUUAGUUCCAUUGUGCAUUUAAGAGUACACAUAUUUCAUAUGUAAUUCGAAAGUUUGUCGCUGAAAUUUCUGAGAAUUUGAAACUAGAUAAGCACACCUUGCACAAAGUUCAUAUAUUUUCUUCCAGCAAGUCUGUCUAUUAACCCCCCUUAUCUGAAAUUAAUUGUUAAAAGUUCUGAUUCAUCUUUAAUCAUUGUCUUACCCUUGUUGAAUAACACUCCUCAUUCUAAUUUAUAUUCGAAGUUUGAGGUUUCAAUUUCAAUUGUGGGCUUUGAUUUUACAGAUUUUGUUUGUCAAUUUCAAUUUGGACAAAGCAUAUGCAAACAAAGUAAGGCAUUAUCUAUUAUUUGGAUCAUUUCCAUAUGUUUAUAUGUUUUUAAUAUCAUUUGCCUAUGUAGUUGACAUGUUAUAACAUUUUCGUAGUGUUGAAUAUAUAUAUAUAAUAAUUUUAUUUUAGUGGAUGUGAGAUCUCAGUUUGUUGCUUUAUAUAAUUAUUUCUUUGCAAUUUAAUUUUUUUUAUCAGUCAUACUAUUGUUGACGGCUAAAAACCAUCAAGAAACAACUCUUAAGUUUUUUAAAAAAUAAAUAAAUAAAUAAAGAUUUGUUGAUGCUUAAAAAGCAUCAAGAAAAGAUAGUUUCUUGACGGUUUUGUGACGUUUCAUAACCGUCAUGAAACAUUACAUUUUGACGAACGUCUUUCUGAUAGUGGCAUCCGUGACGCUUUCCGAGCCAUCAAUUAAGGGCUAUCGUGAUGCUUUUUAGUUGUCAGCAAAAGGUGUUUUUCUUGUACUGUAUUCACUCAAAAUCGUUUUUCAUUUAGGGUUGCUAGUGUGGUUGAAUGCCAUUUGUUUUGUUAAUGAAUAUUAUACAUUAUGGAUUUUUGUAGAAAUGUCGCUUGAAAUUAUACCUCAGUUUCAAUUUGUCACCUUAAAGAAAAAUUUAAGAGAAAUGUCACCUUAAUUUUUCAAAAUCCACGAUUUGUCAUCUCACUUUAACAUCAUCCAAUUUUCCAUCUAUUUUAAGGGUAUUUUAGUCUUUUCAUUUUCAAGGGAAAAAAAGAGAGGAAGAAAAAGACCUCUCUCUUACUUUCUCCCCCAACCCAACCCCACCCGCCCCCCAAAACACAUCGCAUAGGACCGCCUCCCCCUUCCCCACAUUUCUUUUUUCUUUUUGGCCUACUUUUCCACUAUGUUUAUGUUGAAGGAUCUAAAGUUUUCUUGGUCACCAUCUAUUACGUAGGCUACCGACUUGUUGGUUUGGGUGGGUUGAGGGAAUUUGUGUGUGGAGGGCAGGUGUUCAUGUUGUGUGCACCAAGACCUUAUCGUUGAUGAACUAUGUGACGGCACACACACAAACUCGUUGAGAAUAAAACAAACAUACCACCAAGAGAGUAAAACAAACACACAAGGACACAAAGAUUUAUAGAGGUUCGGCCUCCUGCCUACGUCUUUUUGGUGAUUCACUCGAGAAAUUCACUAGUAUGUAAAAAUAACUUUGGUUACAACUGAACCCCCUUAGCCCUCACAAGAACCUUAGAUCUCUUUUCUCUCACCCUUGCUCAAACCCUUUGAUGCCCUUGUAGACACUCAAGAAUUCACCCUUGAAUUCUAUCUUGUGUUACAUCUUCUCUUCUCCCUUUUGUUAACCUAACCCUAAAAGUCCUAUUUAUAAUGCAUAGGACUUAAGUUACAAGUUAACUUGGAAUAGGAAACAUAAAAUACCCCAAAAAUUGGAGAAAAUCUGUCCAAAUCUAGCCUGCAAAAUCAUCCUUCUGCCGCUCGAGCUGCCGGUGGCGCUCAUGGGAUGGGGGAAUUGGAGAUUUUCUUUUCAAUUUUAAUUGUUUAAAAGAUAUACAAUUUUUUAUUAUAAUAAUUUUUCCAUUUUUAAAAUACACUUGAAAAUAGAAAGCUUAAAAUGCCCUUAAAAAUAGAUGGAAAAUUGGAUGGUGUUAAAGUCAGAUGACAAAUCAUGGAUUUUGAAAAAUUAAGGUGACAUUUCUCUGAAAUUUUUCUUUUAAAAGUGACAAAUUGAAACUGAGGUAUAAGUUCAGGCGACAUUUCUACAAAAAUCCCUAUACAUUACAAUAUUAUAACAAUAAAAUUGGCUAAAAUUGAUAUGUUCCCUCUUUUCUUUUCUUUUUCUCUUUUCCUUUUCAUUUUAUGCUUUGUUGCUAUUGCUAUGUUUAUCCUACAAAUAUAGCAACUUCUCCACCAUUCAUUUGUUAGUGACUACGAUGCUUAGUAACUUCUUCAGCUCCCCUUAUUUCCAUGUACUAACCAGGGACACCAGGUCAGCAUCUUCGGUAAGAAUCCUAACUCAAUCAAACAAUGACAUCUGUAAAUAUUCAAAAUUGGAAUUUGCAUUGUGAUAGUUGAAAGCAUCCUUGUCCCAAAAAAAGCCAAAAAAUAAAAUAAAAUUGAGAGCAUUAAGUCCUUUUCAAAUUAUGCUAAUAUGCAAAAUUGGAAUUUUGAUGGAGUUGCUUCCUUGACUUUUCCACCUUUGUAUCCAGUCCACUUUGCACAAGGAGCCAAGUUUGAGAGAUAGUUUUCUGUAUUUACACCAUCCAGGAGAAAAUUAAAAAACUAUUUCAUGCCAAACUAACUACGGAUUCUUGCAAAGGACCCAUUAGUGUAGUGGUUUGGAGUAUUUACUCCCUCAGGCAAGGUCUUGGGUUCGAGUCCUAGCAUUCAUGUUGUGUGUGUGAGUUUAAUAUGCUAUCACCCCUUCCAAUAGGAAAGGACCUCAAAAAAAAAAAAAAAACUACAGAUUCUUUAAUUGAAAGAAACCCCAUAUUAAUCAUCCUUUGGCACAUAAAUGUUUGGUAAUUGGCAUUAAAGUAUCUAAAGGUUACGAAAUUAAAGAUUUUAAUGCAAACCUAAAAUUGGAAAAGAGGGCACCAAUUCAUGUAAAAUAUGGUGUACUUAGUAGAUCCAACAUAUUUUUUUAGCAACCAAGGACAAUCAUCAUUUUUUUUUUUAAGAACCAAGGAUAGCUUACAUUCUAGUUUGUCCAUCAUGUCAACACAUUUAUAAUUAAAACUUCUUUUUUGGUGAGGUUUCAAUUUUUGUCACUGUAACAAGACCACAAUUGCCAUUCAGUAUGCUAACAUUGUCACUAUGUUUGCCAAUUGCAUAUUAUCUAGAACAUAAAGGCUUUGGUGUUUUGUAUAUCCUCGGGGUGCCAAACCUGUCUUUAUAAAAAUGGUCCUUAUGAUACUACUUUAACAACAAAAAAAUAUAAUAAACUAGGCCUUUGUAGUCACUGAACGAAUGUUUUCUCAUAGAUAUGACUAUUUAAAUGUAAUUACGGGAUUAAAACAUUAUAAUAAAUUGGAGUGAACCAUAACAUUAUAUAUGAUCCAAUCCUUUUCAUAUAUUUUUGUUCAAGACUUUGUUUUAGAAUGCUCUUUUACUAAUUUGGUACAGGUCCCUAAAAUCUACGCCUUUAUGAGGCAACGUCUUUAUUUCUUUGGUUAUUCCAGUUUAGAAUAUAUUUGUACAAAUGAGAUGACUCCCAACAUAAAGUCACAUUCAACCAAAAAGCAUGAAGUCACACACAAAAAGAACACGGACAAUUGCUAAGUUUAUCUUGUAUCCUUAUUUUAUUGAUCCAACCCAAUUGAAAAAUAAAAAAGAUGAUAUAAUAUAUUGUUCACUGCUUACAUCCAUGAGUAAAGUCCUCCAUUUGAAAUUGCGUGAUUAUACAAAAUUGGAAUGAAAAAAGAAAAUCCUACAACUAAAUUUGAUAUAUUCCUUUUCAUUUUAUGUUGGAUGUUAAGUUUUCUUGUUUCUUGUUGAAAAGAAAAAUGAAAAGAAAUAAAUAAAUUACACAGCUAGCAACUUCUCCACCUUCCCUUCUUCCCAUGUACUGACAACAAGGGAGGCCUUCAAUCCAAAAUAAAGACAAGGGAUGCCAGGUCAGCAUCUCAGAUAAGUAUCCCAACCAAAACCAAUCAAAUAAUGACAUAUGUAUCUCUUUUUGUGUUUUGUUCUAUUUCUCUUUGAAUUAACUGCGAAGUUUCAUAAGCGUGUCCUCCUUUUGAAAUUGUGUAUUAUUCAAAAUUGGAAUUUGCUGGUCAUACUUGAUAUAAGCUAAAACAGUUUCCAACAUCUUGUACCAUUUUUUUCCAGUGUGGGUCAUAACUUGAAGAAGCCCACCGACAAUUUCUCAAAAGCUAUUACCAUCCAACUUUGAAAAAUAAAAGUUUCAAAAGUUACCCCAAACAACAGCCCUUGAAAGAGAGUUUUCCAAGGCUAAAGAUUACAAGGAUGUUAUUGGCACAUGCAUUAACGUGUGACAAGAAGUUAGUUAUAUUUAUAAAGUAAAAGAACGAAGUACAUAACAUGUAAGUUGAUGCCAAAUAUUUGAUCAACAGAGCUAAACAUAAAACCACGACAAUAUAACGUUGUUCACCAAAAAUUGUGUUUCGUUGAGGGUCAGUAGUGUAGGUUUCAAGAUACGAUUUAUUUUGUUAAAGAAUAUUCUGAUAUUCUAACAAUAAAAUUGGCUCAAUUUGAUAUGUUUCUUUUUUUUUUUGUUUUUGUUUUCCCUUUCAUUUUAUGCUUUGUUGUGCUAUUGCUAAGUUUAUCCUAGAGACCAGGGAUGCUUAGCAAGUUUCUUCACCUGCCCUUCUUCCCAUGUACUAACUAGGGAUACCAUGUCAGAAUCUUAGAUAAGAAUCCCAACCCAAUCAAACUAUGACAUCUGUAAGUAUUCAAAAUUGGAAUUUGCAUUGUGAUAGUUGAGUGGAAGAAUCGAUUAAGGCUUGAGUGGAAGACAAACUUCAGUGGAGGAAAGUAAUUAAUCUCACAAGACAUAGCCCAUCAGUUGGCUCAUUUUUCUUGAGUGUGUAGUCCUGGCCUUGAGGCGAGGCCACAUUGCUUUGGAGAUUUCUUUCUACUUGGUGAAAUUAUAAUUUAGAAGAAGCAAACUGCGUUUUGCAAUUUGUGCGAUUCAAGCAUAUCUGACACUAGUAAUUAGACCAUAAUCUUUGUCCGACCAGAAAAUAAGAAAAGUUGUCUUGUACCAUUUCUGCCAGUGUGGGUCCCACCCACCCCAUACGAGUAAUUUGAAGAAGUCCACCGACAAUUUCCCAAAAGCUUUGGCGUCCAACUUUGCCGACCCCAUCCCCAUGUGAGGCCAUAGAAAAGUUUUCAGCCACAAUCAAAGAAGGGAACAGUCCUUGAAAAGAGAGGGUUUUCCAAGGCCAAGAUUACAAGUUCAUGUUAUUUACAGUCUCAAAAAGCUUCCAUACUUGUUUACAAACCUGUAUUUUCAAGUUGUGCUAGCCUAGCUAUUUGCAAAUCUUGGAAUAUUUUACUUCAUCCAAAUCCCUUGCAGUCUGCAGAGAAGAUAAAAGACAUGGCUUUGAUUGGAGAGGCUCUUAUCUCUGCUUCCGUCCAGGUGUUGUGCGACAGAAUUACUUCACCCGAGUUCGUUGACUUAUUUUGGCACAAGAAACUCGAUGAGCCACUCCUCAGGAAGCUGAGGACGACACUGUUGGCCUUGAACUUGGUGCUCAAUGAUGCAGAGGGGAAGCAACUUGUGAACCGAGAUGUGAAAAAGUGGCUUGACGAGCUCAGACAUGCUGUCUUUGAUGCGGAGGACUUACUGGAUGAGAUUGACACUGAAGCUUUGCGAUGCAAGCUGGAAGAAGGUGAAGAUCAAACUCACAAAUUUACCAAUAAGGUGCGGAACUUGCUCUUUUCUCCUCGUAGUCAUUUUUAUCAGAGCAUGAAUGAUAAGAUAAAAGAGUUACUAGCAAGGUUAGAAAACUUUGUACAACUGAAAAGUGCUCUUGGUCUGGGAGAAGUUGCUGGGAGGAAGGUUUCGCAAAGAACUCAAACAACCUCCUUGGUUCUUGAACCUUAUGUAUAUGGUAGAGAUGAAGUCAAAGAAAAGUUAUCAAAAGUGUUGCUAUCUGAUGAAGCAGGCAAGGAUCCUGUGUCUUUCCUCACCAUUGUUGGAAUGGGUGGGGUUGGCAAGACAACCCUUGCUCGAAUGCUUUACAAUGACGAUAAGGUGAAAGGGCAUUUUAAACUUAAAGCUUGGGCUUGUGUUUCAGACUACGAUGAUUAUAUUAAAAUUACUAAAACUCUCCUUGAGGCAGUCACUUCAAAGCCUUGUAACACGGCAAAUCUGAAUUUGCUUCAAAAAGAUCUAAGAGAGCAAUUGAGGGGAAGGAAAUUUUUAUUUGUGUUGACCUAUGGAAUGAGAAUAAUGAGGAUUUGAACUACCUUAGAGCUCUUUUUAUUACUUUAGGAACAAUGGGAAGUAAAGUCAUUGUAACAACACGGAACAAAAAUGCAGCAUCUGUCAUGCAAAAUGUUCAUAUUCAAUACUUAGAACCAUUGUCGUAGGAGGACUGCUGGUUAUUACUUGCAAAACAUGCAUUUGGAAAUGAAAAGUGUAGUGCACAUUCAAACUUGGAAGACAUUGGAAAGCAAAUUGCACUCAAGUGCAAAGGGUUGCCUUUAGCUGCACAAACACUUGGGAGUUUGUUACGUUGCAAUAUGGAUUUCGAGUACUGGAAUAGAAUACUAAAUGAUAGUUUUUGGGACCAACCCUAUGAUAAAACUAACAUUCUUCCGGCUCUAGGGUUGAGUUACCAUUAUCUUCCUACUCAGUUGAAACGAUGCUUUGCUUAUUGUUCAAUUUUUCCAAAGGAUUAUGAGUUUGAAAAGGAAGAUAUAGUUCAAUUAUGGAUUGCAGAAGGUAUAAUUCCACAAGCUGAGAAUGGAAAAAGGAUGGAAGCAUUGGCUAGAAUAUACUUUGAUGAGCUGUUAUCACGAUCGUUGUUUCAAAAGUCAAGUAAAUUCAGCUUCAUUAUGCAUGAUCUCAUUAAUGACUUGGCUAUGUUCAUGUCUCAGGGGUUUUGCCUUAGGCUCGAAGAUGGGGUAUCCCGUGAAGUUAAAAGAGCUCGUCAUUUGUCAUAUGCUAGGGGAGAAUUUGAUGCUGCUCCAAGAUUUGAACCAUUAUAUGAGGCUAAAUGUUUGCGGACCUUCCUACCUACCAUUUGUUGUGGGCAAAUCUACUGGAUCAGGCAUAAGAGAACUGAGGCAGUUCCCGCAACUUCGAGGAAAACUAUCAAUUUUGAAGCUACAAAAUGUAGUUGAUGCGAGGGAUGCACUGCACGCCAAUAUGAAGCACAAGAAAGAUCUCAAGGAGUUAGAGCUUUCAUGGGGUGCGGAGGAUGCUGAUGAUUCCCAAAAGGAGAAAGAUGUACUCGACAAGCUCCAGCCUUGCGUGAAUUUGGAGAAAUUAACCAUCAAAUUCUAUGGUGGAACUAAUUUUCCGAAUUGGUUAGGAGACUCGUCUUUUUCUAACAUACAAGUCAUGCAUCUCAGUGACUGUAGUUAUUGUUGGUCGCUCCCACCAGUUGGACCGCUACCGGCACUCAAACAGCUCUGUAUAAGAAGAAUGAAGUUUGUGAAGACGAUUGGCGUUGAAUUCUAUGGCAGAAAUGGAGCUUAUCUGACUCAGCCAUUUCGAUCUCUGGAGAAGCUAGAGUUUAGGGAGAUGCCAGAGUGGGAGGAAUGGGUACCAAGUGGAAGUGCAAGUGGAGGUGAAUAUGGUCCAGACUUUCCUCGUCUCCAGGAGCUGAUUCUAUACGAGUGUCCGAAGCUAAGAGGAAGUUUGCCUUGUGAGUUGCCUUGCUUGAAGAAGCUUACGGUGUAUGGGUGUAAGGUUUUACAUGAUGGAAGGGCCAUUACCGCAACUACCAAUAGUCUUAACUAUAAAUCUCUGGAAGAAUUGAAUAUAAGUGGUGGAUGCCAAACUCUGUUAUCAUUAUUAGAGACAAAGCUCCUGUCCGGACUUGAGAUUCGAAAUGUUGUUGACAUACAGUGCUUGCCCAACUGCAGUCGUCUUCAACAUUUGACUCUUUCGAAUUGUCCAACGCUGUCAUCAUUUCCCAAAGAUGGCCUACCCACUACAUUGACAUCACUUUAUAUAAACAAUUGUAGGAAAUUAGAAUUCCUACCUCAUGAGAUGUUGGCCAAAUUAACAUCGCUUGACUAUUUGUGCAUACAAAAUAGCUGUGAUUCAAUGAGGUCCUUCCCGUUGGGCAUUUUUCCCAAAUUGACGAGGCUUGAAAUUCGUGGUUGUGAGAAUCUGGAAUCCCUUUCCUUGAUUGAAGAAGAAGGAGCUGUUGAGAAUCUCAGCCAUCUCAAUUACUUGCAAGUCUAUAACUGUCCAAAAAUGGUGUGUUUUCACGAGGGAGAAUUGCCCACUCCCAACCUGAGUCACUUUGUAGUCGGUGGUUGCGAGAAUUUGAAGUCAUUGCCCAAAAGCCUUCACACCCUCACUGCCCUUCGAUCUUUGUCGAUAUGUAAUCUUCCGAAUCUGGAGUCAUUUGCAGAAGAUGGGGGUUUGCCUCCCAACCUCCGACAAGUAAGUAUUAGGAAUUGUGAGAGACUGAGGGCUUCAUCAGUGGGUUUGCAAGCACUUGACUCCCUUGAGAUCAGUGGAAGUGACCAUGUAUUCUCUAUCACACUCUUCACAUCUAUUCUCUAUCAACUCUGAAAUCUUUGGACGGAAAGGGUCUUGGACACCUCACUUCUCUUCAAGAGCUAGAUAUUAACAGGUGUCCAAGUCUGGAAUUCCUGCCAGGAGAGGAACUUCAACACCUCACUUCUCUUCAAAAUCUAUACAUUUGGAACUGUCCCAGUCUUCAAUGCUUGCCAGAAGAGGGUUUUCCAUCAUCUCUUUCUCAUCUGAGUAUCCGCCGGUGUCCUACCCUGGAGGAAAGGUAUAAGAAUAAAACGGGACGAGAUUGGGCCAAGAUAUCUCACAUUCCUUGCAUCGAGAUAGGCAACGAAGUGAUCAUAUAAUAUGAGCUAUUCCAUAUUUCACGCUCAACCCUCAACUCUCAAAUCAAAGUCAGGUGAGGUAUGUGCCUUCUCUUACUUUAAAAAACUGCUGCUCAAUAACACUCUUCGCACUCUAUAUAUUAUGGCCUGUCAGUCUAAAAUUCCUGCCAGGAGAGGAACUUGAACGCCUCUCUUCACUGCAAAGGCUACAUAUUUGUGGGUGUGACAAUAUCCAAUUCCUGCCAGAAGAGCGUUUGCUGCAAUCUCUUUCUUAUCUGUGCAUCGACCAUUGUUUUGCCAUGUAGAAAAGGUAUCUCACAUUCCUUGCGUCAAGAUAGGUGAAGAAGUGAUCAUAAGAUAUGAGCUCUCUCUCCCUCUCGCUCACAUACAAAGUACUUAAAACACUCAAUCUGAUUUCUAUUAUUAUUUUGCUCAGUAAAUUUUGUUUAAAUUUGCUUUGUUUCUCAUUGCGCUUGUUCUGCUUAUCACAACUUAUAUCCUAUUUAAAUCUCAAAUGCUGAAUAGUUAGCAGUCUUUUCGCAGGACAGCAUAUCUUCUCUUGGAGAGCUAUUCAUUUGCAAGGUUUCUUUAUGUGUCAUUUCCAGAGGAGGGUUUACUAUUUAAUAGAAAGGUUCACCUGGAAUAUCUCAAAUGACACAUUCCCAAAUACAGGCAUUGAAUGCACAACAUUUUGAGGUACUAUUUUUGUAAUAAAAAUGUACUUGAGUCUCAUUUGAGCUAGUUUAAAUUGUAUUCAAUGUCUAUGGAUAACCUGUGAGCUUAAGUUGUAAGAUAAAACUCACAGUAUAUUAUUAGGGUUUAGGGUUCAACAGGUGAGCUUAAGUUGUACUUUCCUAGGUACUGCAUGUAUAUUAUCUUAGUAUCAACACUUGGUCUUAUGUGGACGAGAGAGAACAUUUGAGGAAUUACAAAAUCUUCUUAGUGAAUUAAGCUUGUUUCAGCUCUGUUUGUCAUCCCUCACAUUUUCUUUGUUAAGCCUUGAUUUUUUAUUAGACAUACGAAAAAAUGCUUUUAUAAGACAGGAGAUGAAUGCUUUUAUAUGUUGAUGUCGUAGUCAGUCUUCAACCACACUCUGUUUUUAGAAUUCAUUUAUGUUACUAGUUGAGAGCUGCUGUAUUUUAUAUUUCGUUCCUGUAAUGUUUGGAUGUUUAGCUUGAGCAGUCUAGCUUAUCCAGUAGAUAACUUGUCCCCUGUUUUGUAAUGUUUUUGUUUCCUCUAAUGAAAGCAGGUUUUACUUAUCUUGAACUGCAGAAGCCUACUUUUUGACAUAGGUGGCAUGGCACAAACUCGCAUCCGCAUUUCCAUCCCCAUUGGCAUGCUGUCUCAUCUUUUCUAUUCUGUUACCAGCUUGAAGCUUGUGUGGACAUGUUAUGCUCUUGUAAUUCUGAUCACAAACAUCACUUGACAAAUGGAAAGUCACAAUCAGAUCUUUCAGGUGAUCUGGAGGUUUACUUUCUAACAUUUGUUUUCGUGGGGGGGAGACAACAAUACAGAAUUUAAAAUUUCUGAUAAUCAAUAGUAGUUUGCAUAUAUCAGCUGGGACCUGUAUGACUGUAUUAUGUAAUUAAUUAUUUCUCUUAUUGUUUGGGUACUGUUAAAAGGAGUUAGCCACACAACAUAAAAAAGGAGGUCUCUUAUUUCAUACAAUUUUUCAAAUGUGAUCAUUAAUCCGUUUCUUUUUCAACAAUAGAGGAAUGUAUACUAAUCGUCUGGUCCAUCUGCUGCUUCACUCCCUAGUAGCUUCAUCUCCUGUCCUUUGCUUUAUUUCUGUUGAUGAAUGUUUUGUCUGGGUUAUUUAUUUUCAUUUCAUGUCCAUUGCUUUAUUUCUGUUUGGAUUCUUAAUUAAAUCUGUCCUGGACUUGAACAAGGGUUAGGUUAGCUGUAUAAUUUGCGGUUUUAUAUACACAACUGUCUACAUUGAUUAAAACCAGCAUUAUUCUAAGGUUCAUUUAGAAUGUAUUAUCACCAAAAUUAUAAAGAAUACUUCUAUUACAAUUAAUUUGUUGAUUCUAAUUUGGACUUGUAGGAACAGACCAAACAUGUUCAUGCGUGGCAUUGCUCAAGUCAUCAUCAUUCGAGACAGAGAAUAAGCCUUCAAGUGUCUGCUGAGUCAAUGAACCUUUCUAGAUAUCUCAAGUGUAAUGGAAAUUGAUGAGUUACAAAGGAUUUGUAAACAUUUUCUACUGGAGGCUAGAAAUGCUUCAAAUAAAUGACCGUGUUGCAAUUAUUUUGUAGGAUCAAAGACUCUGCAAAGAGGUAAGAAAGUCAUCAUCAAGUAACUUUGCUCUUCAAACUUUUUAUUUUUAUUUUUAAAUAUCAGUAAUAACUGGGAAAGCUUGCAUCUCCUUAAAUUGCUCAUUCUUACAUCUUUUAUAGUUUGUUGAUCUUGGGCAAGUGGAGAGAGAGGCGUCAAGUGAUACGCAACAACCAUUUUCUGUGAGCUGAUUUGAUAAAGAGAAAUGGUAUGCUUUCUUGUCUUAAGCGGUGUGUUCUGCAAUUAUUUGAAACAAAGGAUGCCGCACUUCAAGUUCGAGAAAAUCAGGUAUUUUAGUAUUUUAUUCUUGAGAAAUUUGAUUUAUGUAGAAACUUGAACAUGUAAAUAAAAUAAAUAAAAUAUAUUAUAUGCUGUUAAUGAGUUAAUAUGGUGCUUGCUUCUAGUUGGAAAUUUAUGUAGUCAUCUACCUAUGAUCAAAUAAAGAUGAAGAAUAAAAUAUAAUUGAGAGCAUCUUCCUCUCCCCUGCUUUGCUCAUCCCUUGUUCUUCCACUUCAGCCCCACUAUUACACCAUUUUUUCAGCCACAAUUAUAAUAGCUCCAUGAGCAUUAAGUCCUUUUCAAAUUCUGCUGACAUUCAAAAUUGGAAUUUGCUGGUGAUAUAUGAUAGCAUCUUUGUCCGACCAAAAAGAGAAAAAAAAAAAGUUGAUAGCAUAUUGUACCAUUUUGGCCAGUGUACGCAAUAUUAUUGCAUCCAACUUUGCAUAUUAACAUCAGUGGCCACAGUUCCAUGAUUUGAGUGCACAGAAAAGUUUCAAAAGUUGUCCCACAAAGAACAGUCGUUCAAAGUGAAAGAGAGAUUUCAAAGCUUAAUUACAAGUUCAUGUUAUUUACAAUAUCAAAAAGCUUUCAUACUUGCUUACAAACCUGUAUUUCCAAGUUCUGCAAACCUUGGAAUAUCACUUCAUCCAAAUCCCCUUCCAAAGCAGGAAAAAAUGGCAGCAGCUUUGAUUGGAGAGGCUCUCAUCUCUGCUUCUAUCGUGGUGUUGUGUGACAGAGUUACUUCAGCCGAGUUCAUAGACUUAUUUCAGCAGAAGAAACUUGAUGAAACACUCCUCAUGAACCUGAAGACGACACUGUUGAUUUUGUUUGCGGUGCUCAAUGAUUCAGAGGAGAAGCAAAUUGUGAACCCUGAAGCUUUGCGAUGCAAGCUGGAAGGUGAGGAUCAAACCCACAAUAAUUAACCAAAAAGGAUCUUUUUGAUUGUUUGAAAGGAGGGUCUUGAUGAUUUGAAAGGAGAGGGUUGCUUUAUUUCUGUUGGAUGCUUAAUUAAAUCUUAUUUGGAGUUGAACAAGGAUUAGGUUAGCUGUAUAAUUAGUGGUAAACGCCUUUUUCUAAGGGUCAUUUAGACUCCUAUUACGAUUAAUUUGUUGUUUCUAAUUUGGACUUGUAGGAACAGACCAAAUAUGUUCACACGUGGCAUCGCUCAAGUCAUCAUCAUUUCAGACUGAAAAUCAGCCUUCGAGUGUCUGUUGAGUCAAUAAACCUUUCUAGAUAUAUCAAGUGCAAUGGAAAUUCAUGAGUUACAUAGAGAUUUUUAAACAUUUUGAAGAUUGCAACACCUGCAAGUGAGAUAGGCGGUGACGAAAUCAGAGCUGAUUUUGAAGCCUCUGAUGCCCCUGUUGUUGCAAGUUGCACCUGAGAACAAGUUUUUUUUUUCUUUGGGGUAAAAAACUGGCAACAUGUUCGGAGCUGACAAUUCAAUCCCUGAUGAACUAGAGAAGCAAAGCUCCGGUAAGGAAAUUGGUCAAGGUUGUGACAGGGAUGAUUGAUGGUGAAAUGGAUGCUAUUUCUUAUUGCAGCCUGUUCUCAAAGUUCUUGUUGGCAAAUGCAAUUGAUGGAGUAUUUUGAUUGGGAGGAGAGAUAAUGACAUGGCUUGACAAUUCUAGAACAGCCCAUCAUUAAUCCCAGAAAAAAUCCCGUUUCUGCUAAACAAUCACUUAUGGCAAGGCCAACUCUGUAAAUGGAAUUUGUGAUCCCUUCAAAUUGUACACAUUUUUUCUUUUUGAGGAAUUUAAUCAAACAGUAUUCUAAUGCAUUAUGAUAGCACUACACGCUUUUGUUGUAACAAAUUACAAGGAGGAAUUUGGAUUGAGUUUCUUGUAUAAGCACACCUUACACAAAUUUCGUAUAUUUUCUUCCAGCAAGUCUGUUUAUUAACCCCCUUAUCUGAAAUUAAUUGUUAAAAGUUUUGAUUCAUCUUUAAUCAGUGUCUUACCCUUGUUGAAUAACACUCCUCUUUCUAAUUUAUAUUUGAAGUUUGAGCUUUCAAUUUCAAUUGUGGGCUUUGAUUUUUCAGAUUUUGUUUGUCAAUUUCAGUUUGGACAAAGCAUAUAUGCAAACAAAGUAAGCAUUUUAUGUUAUACUUUUGAACUAGGUGUUGAUUUGAUUUAAUCAUAAGUUUUGCUGGUGCAUUUACUAGGCUAAUCAUUCAAUACUUUUGAUCAUAGAACUUCUUUGGUUGAUAUUAUCUUUGUUAAGUUUAACCAUAACUUUAGAGAGGGGACUUCAACAGAUUUAUAAUCUCAUCAUUAUAGUAUUAAAAAUUAGAGAUUAUUUAAGGCAUUGUCUAUUAUCUGAAUUCUGCUUACUUUUAGUUCAUAUGUUUACAUCUUAGCAUAUUCAUGUGAUUAGUGCGGCUCAUACCACAAAGGCAAUUUUAGGCUCAUCAAGUGCUAAGCAAUGUCAAGCUUCCAAAUGACAAGUUCUCUACAUAGUUUGAGACCUACACUUACUAGAUAUUAGAUCAUUUCGAUCAUUUCCAUAUGUUUAUAUGUAAUUGACAUGUUAUAACAUUUUUGUAGCGUUAUAUAAUUAUUUAGCAAUUUAAUUAUUUCUUUGCAACUUAAUUUUUUUUGUCAAUCAUACUAUUGUUGACUGCUAAAAACCAUCAAGAAAUAGUUCUCAAGUUAUAAAAAAAAAAAAAUUUUAAAAAAGAUUUGUUGAUGCUUAAAAAGCAUCAAGAACAGAUAGUUUCUUGACGGUUUUGUGACAUUUCAUAACUGUAGGGGGCUUUUUCUUCCGACAGCUGUAAAUGGGCUGGGCUGCCGUAAAGGGCAGACUGAUGAAAUUGUCCCCUUUUGUAUGAGCUCAAAAAUUAAGCCCCAAAAUACUUUGAAAGGGCAGCAGAGCCUUAGGAAGUAUUUUGGUUACCCUCACCAACUAAAACAACAACAACUUACAGGUAAUUACUUAAUGCUUAUGGAUGAACUCUUGAGCUUGGCAUGAGAGACAUAUGGCAUGGAAGCAAAAUCAACAUGAGUUUAGCACUGAGGGGAAAUUUAGGCUCUCUUGGGGGAAAAAGGGAAGUGUUAAGGUGAGAGAGGAGAAGUUUGUAGGAGAUUUAGCUAAGAAAGGAGAAAUAUAGAACAAUGCUCUUUUGGCAGCUUGACAGAUGCUCUGUUUGCCAGAAAAGGAAGAUGGAGAAGAAAUGUGAAUAGUGCAAGAGUUUGCUAGAUUUUUGCAGGUAAGAGAGGAAGCUUGCUCUCUGGGUCUGAGUUGAGUUUUUUUGUGUGGAAGAGACCUCAUUUUAUAGCCCUUGGAAACCAUCACUUCCCAAGAAACCCUAAUGGCUUCUACCCAUUUUGGCCAAGCUUUUCCCUUCCUUUCUCAUUUCCUUCCUUGACUUUACCCCUCUUGAUGAAAUCCCCUCUGCCUAUUUGCACCAUAUCAGAGUUUUUUGAAGCUCAAGGCCCCUUUUUCCCGCAGUUGUCUCAAUGGGAGACUUCCAUUCCCAGUCAUCUCCUUUAUUGCUUUCCUUUCUUUUUUUCAUGGCCAAGUUUGGUGGGGAAAGGAGUUGGGAUAUAUAUGCUGGUUUGAAGGGUGCUUCUCUUCCUGGCAUCUUACACACUAAUACCCCUUGGUUCCUUGAAUGUUUUGGCUUUGAAACUUGCUCUCCCCCCCCCCCCCCCCCCCCCCAUGUACUGGAACCUACCAGCAGCUCUAUUCAAUGAAUCUUCAGACCUUCUCUUCGUGGCUUUUAUUUUUUAUCAACGGGCUGGGGCUUUUGUGGCUCAUUGUGGCAAUUGUAUGGGCUAAGGUGGUUCAUUAAGUAAGUGGGCUAUUUUUAUUAAACAUUAGGCUUUUUGGUUGAGUCACUAGGCUAUUUUGAUUGGGCUAUUGGGCUAUUUUUUUCCUCUCUUGUGCUCACCCACAUGUUUGGACCAAAGAAAUGAGCUUGAGUCCUGAGGCUCCCAAGCGACCCGAGACUUUCCAUUUCUGGCCCAUCAAUGGGCCUCAUGUUGAUUUAUUACCAUCCAUACCACAACCCACUCAAGCAGGCUCCGGGCAUUUGAAUGACUUGGGCGCACUUAGGCUUGUAGUGUGGUUGGGUGCGAAAUAACGAUUUCGUGCUUGGCAUGUUUUAAUUUUAUCAUCCUUGGGAAAGGCUGCGAUGUUUGAUUUCGGCAUGGGCUUGUAGAGCUGGUAUGCUUUAUUUCAACUCCUAGCAUGACGAAUUAUUUAUUUAGCAUGGCACGUGAAUUACAACUCGCAUGUGGUGGGUUUUUGUGUACUACACCUUACGCCUCUUCUUAAUAGAACAUCGUUUUGGGCUGAUAAUUUAUUCGGGCCAAACCGUGAAUUUUUUGGGUCUCAAUAAUAACCAUCAUGAAACAUUACAUUUUGACUGACGUCAAGAAAUGGGGUAUCCCUUUCCUGAUAGUGGCAUCCAUGAUGCCUUCCAAGCAGUCAAUUAAGGGCUAUCGUGAUGCAUUUUAGUUGUCAGCAAAAGGUGUUUUUCUUGUACUGUAUUCACUCAAAGUCGUGUUUCAUUUAAGAUUAGUAGUAUGGUUGAAUACCAUUUGUUUUGUUAAAGAAUAUUAUACAUUAGGGAUUUUUGUAGAAAUGUCAUUUGAACUUAUACCUUAGUUUCAAUUUGUCACCUUGAAGAAAAAUUUAAGAGAAAUGUCACCUUAAUUUUUAAAAAUCCAUGAUUUGUCAUAUGACUUUAAAAUCAUCCAAUUUUCCAUCCAUUUUAAGGGUAUUUUAGUCUUUUCAUUUUGAAGGAAAAAAAAGAGAUGAAAAAAGAGACCUCUCUCUUACUUUGUCCCUCAACCCAACCCCACCCGCCCCCCAAAACACAUCACAUAGGAUUGCCUCCCCCUUCCCCACUUUUCUUUUUUCUUUUUGUCCUACUUUUCCACUAUGUUUAUGUUGAAGGAUCUAAAGUUUGCUUGGUCACCAUCUGUUACGUAGGCUUCCCAAUUGUUAGUUUGGGUGGGUUGUGGGAAUUUGUGUGCUCGAAACCCGAGACGAAUCUUGUGGAAUUCCCGACAUCACACCGAUGCCGGGCCCACUUCUGAACUAAAUUCUCUUUUCCAAAAUUAAGGAAAAAGAGUACGAGGCUUUCUGCCGAAAUUUCGACAGAGUAUUCCCUAUAAAUUUAACAUUUCAGCUUUGGUGGCCGUUCUCUCAUUUCAGCUUUGGUGGCCGGAUGAGAGAACGGUCGGCUAAAACGUGGCCAGCUGGCACUGCCGUCGCGAGAGAGAGAGAGAGAGAGAGAGAGAGAGAUUUUUAUCAAAUCAUUUUUGCCAAAAUUACGAUUAUGCAACUGAGGGUAUUUUGAUCGUAUCUUUUUCAUUAUAACUCUGAUUCAAGCCCACUACGUGUUUACGGACUCAUCUCGCCGUGCUCUAUGCAAUUGUAUAGUUGAAAUUCCCAAAUUCCACCCCAGUCAAAAAUUCAACUUUAAACCCUACAAAAUAUUAUAGGGGCAAAAUGGUCUUUUAUCUAAUUAAAUUAAUAAUUGAAAAUUUAUUUAGGACCGGGUUGUUACACUGUCGUUGAUGGACUGUGCGAUGACACUCACACAAAGUCCUUGAGAAUAAAACACACACACACCAUGAAGAGAGUAAAACAAAUACACAAGUACACAAAGAUUUAUAAAGGUUUGGCCUUCUGCCUACGUCCUCUUGGUGAUCCACCCGAGAAAUUCACUAGUACGUAAGAACAACUUUGGUUACAACUAAACCCCCUUAGCUUUCAUAAGAACCCUAGAUCUCUUUUCUCCCACCCUUGCUCCAACCCUUUGAUGCCCUUGUAAACACUCAAGAAUUCACCCUUGAAUUCUGUCAUGUGUUACAUCUUCUCUUCUCCCCUUUGUUAACCUAACCCUAAAAGUUAUAUUUAUAAUUCAUAGGACUUUAAGUACAAGUUAACUAGGAAUAGGAAACAUAAUAGACCUCAAAAAUUGGAGAAAAUAUGUUUAGAUCUCGUUAGGAAAUUGCACAACACGUGCGAUCCGCUCGAGCGCCUGCAAAAUGAUCCCUUUGUCGCUCAAGCUGCCGAUAGCUCAUGGGAUGGGGGAAUUAGAGAUUUUUUUUUUUUUCAAUUUUAAUUGUUUAAAAGAUAUACAAUUUUUUAAUAAUAAUUUUUCCAUUUUUAAAAUACCCUUGAAAAUAGAAAGAUUAAAAUGCCCUUAAAAAUGGAUGGAAAAUUGGAUUGCGUUAAGGUCAGUUGACAAAUCAUGGAUUUUGAAAAAUUAAGGUAACAUUUCUCUUAAAUUUUUCUUUAAAGUGACAAAUUAAAAUUGAGGUAUAAGUUCAAGUUACAUUUAUGCAAAAAUCCUUAUACAUUAUGAUAUUCUAACAAUAAAAUUGGCUAAAAUUGAUAUGUUCCCUCUUUAUUUUCUUUUUCUCUUUUCCUUUUCAUUUUAUGAUCCAAUCCUUUUCAUAUAUUUUUGUUCAAGACUUUGUUUUAGAAUGCUCUAUUACUAAUUUGGUACAGGUCCCUAAAAUCUCGGAGCCGCCUUAGUACAUUCAUAAUGUACAUGUUCAGAGUUCAAGAAUAAUGUAUAGAAUGUGAAAUUGACGAUGCCGGCCUUUAUGAGGCAACGUCUUUAUUUCUUUGGUUAUUACAGUUUAGAAUAUUUGCACAAAUGAGAUGAUUCCAAGCAUAAAGUCACAUUCGACCAAAAAGCAUGAAGUCACACACAAAAAGAACACGGACAAUUGCUAAGUUUAUCCUUGUACCCUUAUUUUAUUGAUCCGACCCAAUUGAAAAUUAAAAAAAGAUGAUAAAAAAUAUUGUUCACUACUUUAAAAUCUAUGAGUAGAGUCCUCCAUUUGAAAUUUCGUCAUUAUACAAAAUUGGAAUGAAAAAAGAAAAUCCUACAGCUAAAUUUGAUAUAUUUCCUUUUCAUUUUAUGCUGGGUGUUAGGGCUUGUCAAUGGGCCGGGCUAGGCUAGCCCGGCUCAAAUUUAAUGGGCUUGGGCUAGGCCGGGCCAAGCUUUAAAGAGGAGAGAGAAAAUAUCCGGCCGAGUUUUUUAAGAAAAUUCAAAGCCCAAGCCCGAAUCACUGCUGUCUAGCCCGGCCCAAAUUUAAUGAGCUUGGGCCAGGCCGAGCCAAGCUUUAAAGAGGAGAGAGAAAAUAUCCGGCCGAGUUUUUUAAGAAAAUUCAAAGCCCAAGCCCGAAUCACUGCUGUCAUUUCAUUGAUUUGUGACGAGCACAACCACCAAAUCAGAAUUUACUCACGAAAAUAUCAAGUAUGUCUAGCAAAUUUCAAUUUUGAAUAAUACACAAUUUCAAAAGGAGGACAUGUUGCAAGACAGCAUACCUUCUCUUGGGGUGCUUUUCAUUUUGCAACAUUUCUUUACGUGUAAUUUCCAGAGGAGGGUUUAUCAUUGUAUAUAGCUUUUCGGGUGGUUUGUCUACAAAACAAAUGUCACAAAGAAGGAGGAGAAACGGAAAAGAUUUACUUGGAAUGUCUCAAGUCUCCUUUGAGAUAAAGGCAUCGAAUGCACAACAUUGCUUUUGUGCUAUUUCAUAAUUAAAGUGUGCUUCCCAAGUCUCCUUUGUGUUUUGUAACUUGUAAUGUUUGUUUUUUUGUUUCCCCUGUUUUCCCUCUUAUAAAAGAAAUACAGGUCCAAACCACACGGAUCUACUUGCAUAAUAAUGGACCAAAUUUAUGAUUUUUAGAAAGAACCUUCUGCCGGUGGAAUCUUGGGCUACUGUUGUGGCUCUCCUCUGUGUGCCUCCUUUUUAGAACGGUAAAAUAUUCAAAAUACUAGAAAAUGUUCGUGAUUAAUAUAAAUAUUAAGAAUUGAAAUUAUUAAUUAAAUGAGGAUAAUAUGGUAAAUUCACACUUUUUUAUAUUAAAAAAAUUAAAAUUAAAAGAAAAAUCAGAUAAUUGAUAUUAUUUUUAUGGAACACAGCUACUCAUUAUCUUUUUUAAUUCUAAAAUAAAUUUAAAUUAAAGAAAAAAACCCCUCUCACAGGCACGGAAGCGCGUGCUCAGAGGCUAGUUAAAAAUAAUGAACUUUGCUUCUGAAGACGUCUAUACCAGACCCACUCAACCUGCUUUAUGAUUAUACAAAGAACAAACUCGUCCUUAGACUCAUUUGGUUAAACUUAGAAAAUAAUGAAACAAAAAUAUGCACUCCCACAAGUAACACAGCCAGGAUUGAAAACAACUGGACAAAGAAAGGCAUGUUAAAACAGAAUUUUCAACAACUCAUCACCAUUAGACAAGAAAAAGAAAAAUCAAUACAAAAACAGAAAGAACAGAGAAUAAAUGUGGUGGAAGAAAAACGUUGAAGCCAUUUGUGAAUCCAACAACACUACCACUCUGUUUCUCUCCUUUUGUUCAGGCGGAUCUGCAUAUAUCCUAAGGCGUAUUACGGAAACAACUUCUUGCCGUUAUACUUGAAUGUUGUGGAUGCUUCAACGUUGCCAUCUGGGUGGAGUGGAUUUGUCCAAUUCACCUUCACUAUGGUAUAUACGUCCAAAUUGUUGUUAUUUGAAAGGCUUCUAAAUUUUAACAUUUUGAUUUUUAAAUUUUGUUUAAAUAUUUCGGCCCACUUAGUUCUUCUCAAAAUAUGUCAUCAAUAUCGUUGAAAGGUUGAACUUAGUGAAUUAUUAUAGUGCAGUACUGUAGAAUAGACACAUGAUAUAAUUUGUCCACAUGUUAUAAUAUAAGUAAAUAUUUAUUGAUAUUAUUUCUAAAAAUAAGAAAUAUCAACCAUUAUAUCCUCCCAUAUUAUAAUACAUAUACAAAUUAUACCACAUUAUCAUACUCUAAUACCAUUUUAUAAUUUCUCGUACUUAGAGCGAGUCAAUGACAUUACAUAAUAUAUAAUUGUUCAUAUAAUGGGGCAACUAACGUGAUCAACAAGUUGUGGUGAUUAAUUUAACAUAAUAAAAAAUAUACCAUUUACUUGAGUGAUGUAACAAUUUGUUCUUUUAAAUUGGAUUGCCAUCACUUUAAUAUGAUAUGUUUCUUAUUAUAGUGUCCCAUGUUAAGUGCUUCAGCAUUGUUUGUGGUGUGUACACAAAUUUUCUUAUAAAAUGUUUUAAUGCUUCUCACAUGUAUAUCAGAUAUAGACAGUUGAUGUGACUUAGAAAUCAAAUUGUCAAUAAAGCAAAAAAAUAUAAUUGGUGAUUGAGGUCCAAUUUAAUAGAAAAUAGUCUUAACUUGUAUAUUAGAGGUUUCAGAUUCGAAUCCUCACUGCAUUAUUGUUGUAUACGUACACGAGAAAUCCUCUUCUCCAAUAAUUUAGACUAUCACUUAUACUAAAAAAAUAUAUAUAUAUAAUGACUUUUACGGAUGCAAACAUAAAAUUACACCAAACAAUAAUGGAAUAGAAAGAUGCAAGUUAUUUUUUUUUUUUUUACAUCUAAAGUAUACUUUAUAUAUAUAUUUAUUAUGGGUGUUAUAACCGUUUAAUUUUCAGUUUUUAUUUUCUAUUUAUUGUUUUAAUUUUUAUGGUUUAAUGUGUAUGAAGAUUACAAGUAUUGGAUGUCUACCACUCCUCCUUCACAUCUGAAACAAACCACCAUCUCAUUUCUGUAUUUUCAUACUUUCAUAUAUUUUCUACUUUCCAGAUUAUUAUUUUUGGGCAACGGUUCUGUGACUUGCAGAUUUCUAUCCGAUUGUUAACAUGCUCAUAGCGGACCUUGAGCUUGCGUAUUGGGGAUCGUAUCUUGGAGCCUUAUAGACCUUUAUUACCUGCAUGUAGGGAGGUUAUAAAUGCUUUAGGUCAGCAUCUUUGACGUGCUUUUGCUUUCUUUUUUUUUUUACUUAUUUCUUCGUUUCUUUAUUUUUACUUUACUUUUAAAUUUUUAUUUUAUGUAUUAUUUAUAUUUAAAAGUUUUGAAUAAGAGUUUUACAGAAAAGGAAAAACACAAUUUCAAAUAACACAAAUUUCUCGUUUUUGGUUCUUAAAAUAAAUGAAUUUUUUACUUAUUUGUGAACUGAAAUGCCUCUAAAAAAAUAAUGAUAGUUUGAAGAAUUUGAUAGAAAUUAAAAAAUAUCCUCAAAUUACUUGGAAUUGAAGACCACAUAGGCAAAAACACCAUUUUGGACAAAGGCUGGUGAUAAUAGUCGAUAUCAUCUUUAAGUACUUUAAUAUGAUAUGUUUCUUAUUAUAGUGUCCCAUGUUAAGUGUUUCAGCAUUGUUUGUGGUGUGUACACAAAUUUUCUUAUAAAAUGUUUUAAUGCUUCUCACAUGUAUAUCAGAUAUAGACAGUUGAUGUGACUUAGAAAUCAAAUUGUCAAUAAAGCAAAAAAAUAUAAUUGGUGAUCGAGGUCCAAUUUAAUAGAAAAUAGUCUUAACUUGUAUAUUAGAGGUCUCAUAUUCGAAUCCUCACUGCAUUAUUAUUGUAUGCGUACAUGAGAAAUCCUCUUUCCUAAUAAUUUAGACUAUCACUUAUACUAAAAUAUAUAUAUAAUGACUUUUACGAAUGCAAACAUAAAAUUACACCAAACAAUAAUGGAAUAGAAAGAUGGAAGUUUUUUUUUUUUUUCCUACGUCUAAAGUAUACUUUAUACAGUCCCGAUCUCUUGGACCACAGGAGUCCAAGAGAUUGUGGUCACCCACCGUUGGAUAUUAAUCCAAUGGUUCAAAAUGAUAUAUAUAAAUGCAAUAUGACAUAAAUGAUUAUUACCCGAUCCAAGUCAACCGUUGAAUUUACAUUCAACGGUGGGUGACCAUAAAUCUCUUGGACUACAGGGGUCCAAGAGAUCAGGACUGAUACUUUAUAUAUAUAUAUAUAUAUAUUUAUUUAUUAUGGGAGUUAUAACUGUUUAGUUUUCAGUUUUUAUUUUCUAUUUAUUGUUUUAAUUUUUAUGGUUUAAUGUGUAUGGAGAUUACAAAUAUUGGAUGUCUAUAAAGGGCCACUCCUCCUUCACAUCUGAAACAAACUACCAUCUCAUUUCUGUAUUUUCAUACUUUCAUAUAUUUUCUACUGUCCAGAUUAUUAUUUUUGGGCAACGGUUCUGUGACUUGGAGAUUUCUAUCCGAUUGUUAACAUGCUCAUAGCGGACCUUGAGCUUGCGUAUUAGGGAUCGUAUCUUGGAGCCUUGUAGACCUUUAUUACCUGCAUGUAGGGAGGGUACAAAUGCUUUAGGUCAGCGUCUUCGACGUACUUUUGCUUUCUUAUUUCUUCGUUUCUUUAUUUUUGCUUUACUUUUAAAUCUUUAUUUUAUGUAUUAUUUAUAUUUAAAAGUUUGAAUAAGAGUUUUACAGAAAAGGAAAAAUACAAUUUCAAAUAACACAAAUUUCUCGUUUUUUGUUCUUAAAAAAGAAGAAGCAUUGAUUGGGGAGUUAUGGUAAACUCAAUUUCAAUGGUUGCGAUGAGAGGCGGUGGCGGCGAGGAGAGGACGAAGGCUUUGCUGCCGACGGGGUGGUGUGGGUGGGUGGAGACCUCGGCUGGCUGCUUGGUCCUGGGUUCUCCUUUAAUUCUCUGUUUUCUUUUUUCUUUUUCUUUUUCUCUUAGAGUUAUUGAUGUUAAGUGAAUGGACAGAUGCCAAAAUAGGGACAGAAGUAGGGGUGGGCAUCAAUCCGGCCGAUCCGGUCAAUCCGGCCGAACCGAUUAUAUUGGAUUGGUUUGGUUUGGUUUUGACCAAAGAAAAAGUCAACAUUUUGAAAAACCGAACCGAACCGGUUUGGUUUGGUUCAGCUGUGGUUUGAGAGUUUUAAAAACUGUCCUAAACCGAACCGGACCGAUUAUAAAUCAAUUUAUUAUUUAUUUAAUUUAGUUUACAUGUGGCAAGGUUUGUGUGCGUUUUGUGAGUCCGCGUAUCUGAAUGUUGGUGCACGUUUUGAUCUUCUAAUUUGCAUAUCCCAGUUAUUUGUGUGUGCUUGUAUUUCCCUCUCUUUCUAUCUCUACUAUGUGUGUUUGCUCUUUGUGUUGUGUGGCUCUUCUUACUCUAUCUAUCUUAAUUAAUGGGUCCAUUUCAUAAUUUCAUACGCAUUCAAACUCCACCUCUGUGAUAAAAACAUUUACCUCUUUGUGAUAAAAGCUUUUCAUUUGUUUGUAUUUCUCUUUGGCUUUUUGACUCACUCACUGUCUUUCUUUCUUUUAAUGCUACUUGUGAUGAAUGCAAUGAGUAAAUUUAAUGCUACUUGGUUAAUGCAAAUUUUGUAUAUGUUUGUUUUGAUGGAAAUUGUGAACUUAGAUGCAUGCUAGACAUUGGACAACCUUUGAAUAAAUGGAAUGAUGUUGUAUUAGCCUUUGAUGGAAUGAAAUGAAAUGAUAUAAUGGCAAAAUGUUAGCAUUAUAAUGUAAGAGCAGGUUGAAAAAUGCAUGGUUUUGUGUUAGGCACAAACCGGCCGAACCAAUCCGAACCAAACCGAUUACAAGUGGUUUGGAUUGGUUCGGUUUCCAUUAUGAUUUUAGGCUAAUCCGAACCAAACCGGACCGUUAUUUUCUUAUUGGUUCAGCUGUGGUUUGAGAGUAAAACCGAACCAAUCCGGACCGUGCCCACCCCUAGACAGAAGAUGUGAACCCAAUUAUAUACAGCUGAUUACAUAAAGUAACAAAUUAAUUAAUACUUGAGUGGAGGACAGGCUUGAGUGGAAGAAUUGAUUAAGGCUUGAGUGGAAGACCAACUUCAGUGGAGGAAAGUAUAGAUAAGGAAAGCAUGCCUCGUUUAACGGCUUUAUCUAAUAAAGAUUAGUUGUUGGCACUUGGAGUUUCUUAGGAAUGCUGGUUUUGUUUCCUUGGUGGACUUGAAAGGUGGUGCGUUGGCUCGGACAUCUCCCUAGUAAUUAAUCGAAGGUGGAAUCUUACAAGACAUACAGCUGCUCAUUAGCUGAAUAUCUCGCUCUCUUUAAAGAGAUCGAAGCAAACUGCAAUUUGCAAUUUGUGUGAUUCAAGCAUGAAUAUCUGAUAUAGUAACUAUACCAUUUGUUGGUUUGAUAAGAAAAGUUUGGUUAGCGAGGAUGAAACCAUAAAGUUCUCCAAAACACACAAAAAACACGAACAAUUGCUAAGUUUAUUCUUGAGUUCACACAUAUUUGUACAAAUGAGAUUACUCCAAGCAUGACUAUACCAUUUGUUGGUUUGAUAUGAAAAGUACGGGCAACGAGGAUAAAACCAUACAAACACACACAAAGAACGUGGACAAUAUACUAAGUUUAUCUUUGCGUUAUUGAUCCGACCUAACUGUAAAAUAAAAAAGAUAAAAAUAUAUAAUGUUCACUACUUAGAUCUAUGAGCACUAAAGUCCUCCUUUUGAAAUUGCACAAAACAUCACUUUUGGUCUUUGGUAAAUUUUUAAAAUAAAUGAAUUUUUUACUUAUUUGUGAACUGAAAUGCCUCUAAAAAAAUAAUGAUAGUUUGAAGAAUUUGAUAGAAAUAAAAAAAUAUCCUCAAAUUACUUGGAAUUGAAGACCACAUAGGCAAAAACACCAAAUUGCAACCUCACUUUAAUGAUAAAAAUGGUAAACUACAAAGACAAAAAUGACGUUUUGCCUUAUACAUAAUUGGAAUUUGCUGGUGAUAAUAGUCUACCAUCUUUUGUCGAUUUGCUGGUGAUAAUAGUCUAUCAUCUUUUGUCGGUCCGACCUAAAAAGAAGAAAAAGUUGAUGGCAUCUUGUACCAUUUUUGCCAAUGUGGGCCCAAACAAUUUGAAGAAGUCCACCGGCAAUUUCUCAAAAGCUAUUGUGUGAGUGUGAAGCUAAACCAAUAUUAUUUUGCAUAUACGACUCCACAUCCCCAUGUGAUGUGAGGCUACAAAAGUGUUUCCAAAACGAAAUAUGAUAUUUCAAAACGAAGCUAUGUAUAGAGUCAUUUGUAUUUGCUUUCACAAUAACAUUUGAUUUGUGAAAGCAUUUUAUAUUUAUACAUUCUGAUAUUCUAACAAAUAAAUUGACUAAAUUUGGCCAACAGGAUUUAGCCGAAUAGAAAAGUCCUUAUUUAUAGACUAGUGGUUUCAAAUUUAAAGUUUAGACUAUCGCAUGUAUUUAAAAAAAAAAAAACAAUUGGCUUAAUUUGAUAUAUUUCCUUUUUUUCCUUUUUCAUUUUAUACUGGGUGCCGUUAUUAAGUUUUAUCCUUAUUUUUUGUUGAAAAGAAAAUUGAAAAAAAAUAAUAAUUCCUACAGCUAGCAACUUCUCCACCUUCCCUUCUUCGCAACUAGGGAUGCCAUUGCAAGGUCACCAUCUCAGAUUAAGUCCUCCUUUUAAAAUUGUGUCGUUAUUCAGAAUUGGAAUAUAAUCCUGUACCACUUUGGCCACUUUUGAAGAUGUUCACCGACAAUUUCUCAAAAGCUAUUAAGCUGUACAUCCACAAUAUUAUUGCAUCCAUCCCCAUGUGAGGCUACAGAAAAAUUUUGAAAACGAAACUGGAUAUUUUAUCUCUAACAACAGCUUUCAUACUUCGUUUACCCUGUGUUUCCAAGUUGUGCUAGCUAUUUGCAAACCUUGGAAUAUUACUUCAUCCAAAUCCCUUGCAGAGAAGAGCAAGAUAUGGCUUUGAUCGGAGAAGCCCUCAUCUCCGCUACCAUCCAGACGUUUUGUGACAAAAUUGCUUCGCCUGAGUUCACCGACUUAUUUCGGCAGAAAAAGCUCGAUGAACAACUCCUCAACAAGCUGAAGACGACGCUGUUGACCUUGUCCGUAGUGCUUAAUGAUGCAGAGGAGAAGCAAAUUAAGGAACCUUUAGUGAGAGACUGGCUUGACAAUCUCAGACAUAAUGUCUUGGCUGCGGAGGACUUACUGGAUGAGAUCGACACUGAAGCUUUGCGAUGCAAGCUGGAAGAAGGUGAAGGUCAAACCCACAAUUUAACCAAGAAGGUACGUGAUUUUUAUCAACGCAUGAAUGUUGAGAUGAAAGAUUUAUUAGAAAGAUUAGAACAAUUUGUACAAGAGAAAAGUGCUCUUGGUUUGAGAGAAGGUGCUGGGAGGAAGGUUUCACAAAGAAGAACAACUUCCUUGGUUCAUGAACCUUGUGUCUAUGGUAGAGAUGAAGUCAAAGAAAAUCUGUUACAAAGAAGAGGAUUUGCCGUCAUCUCUUUCUCAUCUGAGUAUCUCGCGGUGUCCUGCCCUGGAGAAAAGGUAUAAGAAUAAGACGGGACAAGAUUGGGCAAAGAUAUCUCACAUUCCUUGCAUCAAGAUAGGAUACGAACUGAUCAUAUAAUAUGAGCUAUUCCAUAUUUCACUCUCAACCCUCAACUCUCAAAUCAAAGUCAGGUGAGGUAUGUGCCUUCUCUUACUUUAAAAAACUGCUUCUCUUCUUCUAAUUGAAUACAAAAACCAAAACACAUAUUCUCUUUCUCUUCCAAAAACCCAAAUACAUGUUGAACAUUGCCAAAUUUGAUCUCCAAAUUCCUAAUUAUUUCACGCUUUUUGUUAUUUUGUUGCUUAGUAAAUUAUGGUUGCUGGUCACAAAUUAUAGUCUGUUAAUAGGUUCAUGCCAUGAAUUAAUCUUUGGACUUUCCCAGGUACUGCAGGUUUGUUAUUAAUGUUGUGGCCUGAUAUUCGUCGUAUCAAUAGGUUGUCUUACGUUGAGGAGAGAGAUCGAUCAGCAAUUACAAAAUUGUUAGUGAAUUUAGCUUGUUUAUCAUCUCUCUCCUUUUGUUUGUUAAGUUUGGUUGUUCUAGGUUAAACCCUUGUCCCCGCAUUUCACAGCAACUCUAUGUUAUUCCACUCUGUUUAGUUUCAUUUAUGUUGUGAUUCGACUGCUGCUGUAUUUUAGAUUUCGUUCAUGUAAUGCUAGGAUGUUUAAUCUCUUAUCUGUGGUGGUAGUUGAGUAGUCUAGCUAAUCCAAUGAUAACUUGUCCCCUGUUUUGUAUUGUUUUUAUUUCUCUGGUAAUGAAAGCACGUUUCUUAUAAAUAAAUAAAAAAUAUUUCAUUGAUAUUCAUUGCUUAUUUUGAACUGCAGAAGCCUACUUUUGUCAGAGUCAGUAGAUGCCAGAAUGAAGUCAUUGCCUAAACACAUUGGCACCCUCACAGCCUUCGACAUUUUGGGAUAUAUGAUCUUCAAAAUCUUGUGUCAUUUGCCUCCCAACCUGCAAUAUUUUCAUAUUUUAAAUUGUGACAGACUGAGCCCUUUGGUGGGAGAUUACUGGGGUUUGCAAGGACUUGGUGGCAAUAUCUUGUAGACGUUUCUCAAGGAACAGCUGCUCAAUACCACUCUUCACACUCUAUAUAUUAUGGCCUGUCAGUCUAUAAUUCCUGCCAGGAGAGGAACUUGAACGCCUCUCUUCGCUGCAAAGGCUACAUAUUUGUGGGUGUGACAAUAUCCAAUUCCUGCCAGAAGAGUGUUUGCUGCCAUCUCUUUCUUAUCUGUGCAUCAACCAUUGUUUUGCCAUGUAGAAAAGGUAUCUCACAUUCCUUGCGUCAAGAUAGGCGAAGAAGUGAUCAUAAGAUAUGAGCUCUCUCUCCCUCUCGCUCACAUACAAUGUACUUAACACAAACACUCAAUCUGAUUUCUAUUAUUAUUUUGCUCAGUAAAUUUUGUUUAAAUUUGCUUUAUUUCUCAUUGCACUUGUUCUGCUGAUCACAACUUAUAUCCUAUUUAAAUCUCAAAUGCUGAAUAAUGAGCAGUCUUUUCGCAGGACAACAUAUCUUCUCUUGGAGAGCUAUUCAUUUGCAAGGUUUCUUUAUGGGUCAUUUCCAGAGGAGGGUUUACUAUUUAAUAGAAAGGUUCACCUGGAAUAUCUCAACUGACACAUUCCCAAAUACAGGCAUUGAAUGCACAACAUUUUGAGGUACUAUUUUUGUAAUAAAAAUGUACUUGAGUCUCAUUUGAGCUAGUUUAAAUUGUAUUCAAUGUCUAUGGAUAACCUGUGAGCUUAAGUUGUAAGAUAAAACUCACAGUAUAUUAUUAGGGUUUAGGGUUCAACUGUUCAACAGGUGAGCUUAAGUUGUACUUUCCUAGGUACUGCAUGUAUAUAAUCUUAGUAUCAACACUUGGUCUUAUGUGGACAAGAGAGAACAUUUGAGGAAUUACAAAAUCUUCUUAGUGAAUUAAUGUUGUUUCAGCUCUGUUUGUCAUCCCUCACAUUUUCUUUGUUAAGCCUUGAUUUUUUAUUAGACAUAAGAAAAAAUGCUUUUAUAAGACAGGAGAUGAAUGCUUUUAUAUGUUGAUGUCGUAGUCAGUCUUCAACCACACUCUGUUUUUAGAAUUCAUUUAUGUUACUAGUUGAGUGCUGCUGUAUUUUAUAUUUCGUUCCUGUAAUGUUUGGAUGUUUAGCUUGAGCAGUCUAGCUUAUCCAGUAGAUAACUUGUUCCCUGUUUUGUAAUGUUUUUGUUUCCUCUAAUGAAAGCAGGUUUUACUUAUCUUGAACUGCAGAAGCCUACUUUUUGACAUAGGUGGCAUGGCACAAACUCGCAUCCGCAUUUCCUUCCCCAUUGGCAUGCUGUCUCAUCUUUUGUAUUCUGUUACCAGCUUGAAGCUUGUGUAGACAUGUUAUGCUCUUGUAAUUCUGAUCACAAACAUCACUUGACAAAUGGAAAGUCACAAUCAGAUCUUUCAGGUGAUCGGGAGGUUUACUUUCUAACAUUUGUUUUCAUUGGGGGGAGGACAACAAUACAGAAUUUAAAAUUUCUGAUAAUCAAUAGUAGUUUGCAUAUAUCAGCUGGGACCUGUAUGACUGUAUUAUGUAAUUAAUUAUUUCUCUUAUUGUUUUGGUACUGUUAAAAGGAGUUAGCCACAAAAUAAAAAAGGAGGCCUCUUAUUUCAUACAAUUUUUCAAAAGUGAUCAUUCAUCCGUUUCUUUUUCAACAAUAGAGGAAUGUAUACUAAUCGUCUGGUCCAUCUGCUGCUUCACUCCCUAGUAGCUUCAUCUCCUGUCCUUUGCUUUAUUUCUGUUGAUGAAUGUUUUGUCUGGGUUAUUUAUUUUCAUUUCAUGUCCAUUGCUUCAUUUCUGUUUGGAUUCUGUCCUGGACUUGAACAAGGGUUAGGUUAGCUGUAUAAUUUGCGGUUUUAUAUACACAACUGUCUACAUUGAUUAAAACCAGCAUUAUUCUAAGGUUCAUUUAGAAUGUAUUAUCACCAAAAUUAUAAAGUAUACUUCUAUUACAAUUAAUUUGUUGAUUCUAAUUUGGACUUGUAGGAACAGACCAAACAUGUUCAUACGUGGCAUUGCUCAAGUCAUCAUCAUUCGGGACAGAGAAUAAGCCUUCAAAUGUCUGCUGAGUCAAUGAACCUUUCUAGAUAUCUCAAGUGUAGUGGAAAUUGAUGAGUUACAAAGGAUUUUUAAACAUUUUCUACUGGAGGCUAGAAAUGCUUCAAAUAAAUGACUGUGUUGCAAUUAUUUUGUAGGAUCAAAGACUCUGCAAAGAGGUAAGAAAGUCAUCAUCAAGUAACUUUGCUCUUCAAACUUUUUAAUUUUAUUUUUAAAUAUCAGUAAUAACUGGGAAAGUUUGCAUUUCCUUAAAUUGCUCAUUCUUACAUCUUUUAUAGUUUGUUGAUCUUGGGCAAGUGGAGAGAGAGGCGUCAAGUGAUACACAACAACCAUUUUCUGUGAGCUGAUUUGAUAAAGAGAAAUGGUAUGCUUUCUUGUCUUAAGCGGUGUGUUCUGCAAUUAUUUGAAACAAAGGAUGCCGCACUUCAAGUUCGAGAAAAUCAGGUAUUUUAGUAUUUUAUUCUGGAGAAAUUUGAUUUAUGUAGAAACUUGAACAUGUAAAUGAGAGAAAAAAAAAUUUAUAUAUAUAUAUAUUAUAUUGUAUAUGCUCUUAAUGAGUUAAUAUGGUGCUUGCUCCUGGUUGGAAAUUUAUGUAGUCAUCUACCUAUGAUCAAAUAAAGAUGAAAAAUAAAAUAAAAUUGAGAGCAUCUUCCUCUCCCCUGCUUUGCUCAUCCCUUGUUCUUCCACUUCAGCCCCACUAUUACACCAUUUUUUCAGCCACAAUUAUAAUAGCUCCAUGAGCAUUAAGUCCUUUUCAAAUUCUGCUGACAUUCAAAAUUGGAAUUGCUGGUGAUAUAUGAUAGCAUCCUUGUCCGACCAAAAAGAAAAAAAAAAAAAGUUGAUAGCAUAUUGUACCAUUUUGGCCAGUGUACGCAAUAUUAUUGCAUCCAACUUUGCAUAUUAACAUCAGUGGCCACAGUUCCAUGAUUUGAGUGCACAGAAAGGUUUCAAAAGUUGUCCCACAAAGAACAGUCGUUCAAAGUGAAAGAGAGUUUUCAAAGCUUAGUUACAAGUUCAUGUUAUUUACAAUAUCAAAAAGCUUUCAUACUUGCUUACAAACCUGUAUUUCCAAGUUCUGCAAACCUUGGAAUAUCACUUCAUCCAAAUCCCCUUCCAAAGCAGGAAAAAUGGCAGCAGCUUUGAUUGGAGAGGCUCUCAUCUCUGCUUCUAUCGAGUUGUUGUGUGACAGAGUUACUUCAGCCGAGUUCAUAGACUUAUUUCAGCAGAAGAAACUUGAUGAAACACUCCUCAUGAAC
rnacentral:lncRNA from 1 species